UUUUUUUCUUUCUACACUACCUAAUUGUUCGGCACAGCAGUACAGCACUACACAUAUCAAACACUGUACUUAGCACGCAACUACAAGACGAUGCUGCAAAACAAAAAUUGUAGCAAAUUCAAAUUUUUGAAGGAACCAGUUUUUCAGAAGAAAUUUCAAAGCAGUAUAUAUCACACAAAAAUUUUGAAGCAGUAUAUCAAAUGUUUUGAACAUAUCUGGAUUGACCAGAAUGUUGAAAACAUCGUCCACAGAUCGCUUCCUAAGUCCUAACCUCAUUGUCCUUGAUUUACUCCAUACAGUGUUCAAUGAAAUCGCAAGGCACAAGAACUAUAUCAAGGCAAAUCCGAGGUUCCAAGGAACAUGUACUAUAGCAAGGCAAACCCCAGAUGGAAGAGACAAUGCCAAUGUUCAAUACUGGAUUAAUUCAUCUUCAUUCAAAGCUCUGCCUCUUUGAUUGAUGGGAUUGGCGUAUAACAUUCCGCUGGUGAGUGAAUCCUGAUCAUUCCUAGCACUCUGAUAAUCAGGCAGCUAAAUCCACUUCCCACUGGGAUAUGCUAUCUUAAUCCCACCAGACCAAACAAAUAGCAAGAUGUGUGUGCAAUGUUUCUUGCACAGGUUUAGCAAGAAAAAAAUUUCUUGCACAUUAAAGUGCACAAAGAGUGUACAAUUCAAUGCUAAAUGCAAGGCCCAAUGAAACCACCACAAUUUGAUUACAAUACAUGUCUACAGUCUACUCCAAUCACUCAUCUAUGUGUAAGUUGUAACUCAACUGAAGGAAGCAGGAGAAUGCUCAAAAUAAUAUGAAUGAAAUCAACUAAUUCUAUUUCAAUAUCUGAAAACAGUAGUAUGAUGAAUUCACUAUGCUGCAGGAUAAAAUAAGUACAAAAUACAAGCCCAUAACACUUAUCUAUAGAUGCAUCGACAAUUGAUUGUCAGGUUCUAGAAGGUCAAGGAACAUGUCCAAACUAUAUGACUUCUCACUCAGUUGGCCUAACAAAACUCAAGCUCAAAUUACCACGAACUGAGUUCAAAAAAUAUAUUGUGCGUCAAGUUACUUGAAUAGCAAAAAUGGAAUUCAGAGGAGCCCACAACAAAGGCCUGCUGUUUAUGCUGUUGUGUCAUCCUGGUUAUGAACACGCCAUAGAACUUUUAUUCAGAGUGAAUAGACUGCUUUGUAAACAGGGAAAAGGAAGGUAAAUUGUACUUCAGAUAUCUAUUUGACUUUUUUCCCCAACUAAUUGAAUUUUAGUUCCAUUAUGCAGAAAUAGAAAUCUAUAUGGAGCUCAGAGGAAAAUAUCGAAACAGCAACUGACCUCUGCUUGGCUGAUUGUUGUUAACAGUAUAGUUGCCCAUGUAACUUGCUGAUACAUCUGAUUUGAUAUUUGGAUCAAUAUUUCCAAGAUCAUGGCCAAAAGAAGGUAUGUCAACCUCAGAUGAUGCAAACCUCCAGGCUGUGCCACCAUAAAUAGAGCUGCUACCAUAUGUAUCAGGGUUGUUCACUUCAUAUGUAUUGCCUGAUGCAGAGAAAGGUUCACCAAUUGUACCAGUUGAGUUGCUCCUCCCAUAGCUGCCAGAAGGCAAACCAAAGUUAUUAUCUCCAGCUCCACGGCCAAGGUUCCCUGACCCAAGGCUUGAAAUGUUGCCCAUCCCAUGAGCAGAAGGGAGACCUCCCCAAUUGUCACCAGUAAUACCGACUUGACCUCCAUUUCCAGGUGAAGCAAAAGCAUUCAUGUUUGUAGGAUUGCUCGGGUAGUUUAGACUCCCAUUACCCCAAACAUUCCUAGACAUUGAACUCAACAUUGAUCCUGAAUCAUCAUUGAGGCCAAGGUACCCAAUAGGACUACCCAAUCUGUUCGAACUUCCAUUGUAGUACGAACCCAUUUGCCUCCCAUUGGAACUGUUGAUGAAACCUGAGUUUGCACCAAAAGUUCCGCUCAUCCCACCUUCAACAUUCAUGCCCAUCCCAAAACCUGGGCCAAAAGAAGAGAACCCAUUCCGUGCACCUGAAAGCAGGCCAUACCUUCCAUCCACCCUCAUGCCAUAACCUCCUAUGGGGUUCGGGUUGUAACCCUGGUUGAAGCCAUUCAGGAAGCGGUUCAUAGCAUAGCUCUGCCCUGCUCCCGCAGGAGAGCGUGCAACAGGUCCAGGAGACUGCUCUUUUGGAACAGCCCUCUUGACCUCAACCAUUUUACCAUUCAGCUCAUGGAAGCUCUUGUGCAGAGCUUUGUCCACAGCAUCUUCUGAAUCAUAGGUGAUGAAUCCAAAGCCCCUCGGCCUCUGCGUGUUGUGGUCAUACAUCACAACCACAUCGGUUAUGACACCGAAUUGCUCAAAGUACCUUCUGAAGUCAGCCUCUGUGACAUUUGAGGGCAAACCUCCAACAAAGAUCUUUCUAGUACGGCCCGGUCCAGGUGACCCUAUGCUGCUGGCAUUGCUCUUGCUCACGAUACUGUGGUCGUCCCUGGGAACGGCCUUCUUUGCCUCCACCUGAAUCAAAAAUGGACAAUUCAGCUCGCACAGUGAAAAAGACAGCAGCUUUCCAACAGAAUUCCCACCAAAAAUGCGCAUUGCUAUAUCAGCAGACCCACAAAAAAGGAAAGGCGUGCGAAACGCAAUUACCAUGCGCCCGUCGAUCAUGUGCUUGUCCAUGGUCACCCGCUCCGCCACCGACGCAUCGGAGAAGACCACGAACCCGAACCCACGAGCGCGGCCCGUGCUGCGGUCCCGCAUGAUGACGGCCUCGGUGACCUCCCCGAAGCCGCCGAAGUACUCGCGGAGGCGGUCCUCGUCCGUCUCCCACGAGAUGCCGCCGACGAAGAGCUUUCCGGAGUAGUUGGCCGCCUCCAUCGCUCCCCUCCCCUCCCCUCCUCUCCUCCCCCUGCAAUCCAGAAGCGCACGCACGAUUUACACCAGAUCCGGCGGCGAGAUCCGUACCAGAUCCGGCGGCCGCCGGCGCGAUCCGGCGCCGAUCGGCGUGGGGAUCCCGUACGACGAGCAGGGAGGCGUGGGGGUCGCGCACGUCGGCACGGAGGGGGAUCGGACGCUUACCGGUCGGUUGGCGGCGGCGGCGAGGAGGGAUCGGGGGGCUCGUCGGCGCUCUCCGGCGCUGCCUGCUAAGAUCUCGAGGCGAGCAUGGGAGGCUGGGGGUGAGGUUACUUGGCUUGGAGACGAGGCCGAGGAUGAAAUCUGAGUGGGAGGCACACUGCGAGAGCAGGUGUGCUAUAGCUUCCCCGUGUUUAAAUGGUGGCUAAUGACUUUUAGGGCCCGUUUCAAAACGCUUCAAAUUUCACAGGGUUUUCGGGGAGAAAAAAAAGGUUGAGCUCCUUAAAUUCAAAAGAAAUUCAUGCCUUCCAAAAGCAUUUAUAUUUUGCACGGAUACUGUCUAUGUAAGCUCUUUCUUUUUUAAAAGAUGUAAACUCGUAGUUAACGUACUCACUCGUAGAGGAUAUUUAUCUACGUGUACAUCAUGUUCCCUCCAUAAGCGUGUAGAGGAUAUUUGUUGACAGUCUAACCAUACAAGGAAGGAUAUAAUAUCGAUCGGUUAAUUACCGACACGAAUAACUAGAGCUUAAAUAACAACUUUUAAUUGUGCGUUCACAUUUCCAUAAAUAUGUAAUCCGAUAACCUAUCAAUUAACACGUAAUGAUGUUUAACAUGUAAUGACGUUAUCUUAUGUUUGUACGUGAAAGAGUAACUACUGAAAGGUAUGUAAUAUCACAGCAAAAAUGCAUACAACCACUUAUGUCCCUGCUAGUGUUGGAAUUAUGGAUAUUGUUAGGUAAGAGAUACCUACAAUGGUAAGUGUUGCUUCUGUGAAAGCGGCUAUGCAAAGGAUGUAUACAUACCAUUAGAGUUGAGGUUUUUUGCAAGCUAAGUAUAGUUUAAUUGGUUUGCCCCCCUUUGAGCGAAACAUGUCUAAGUUUAAGUCUUCUACUCAACAAGUCUCCUACUCAACAAGGAUGCCCAUAUUUUCAGCUAAUUACUUUUCAAUAUAGGUGAUGUACCCCUCAAGUUACAUGUGGUGCGGUCUCAGUCAUCAAUAGGAAUGAAUCUAUAUGUGUAUAUAAGUGCCUAUAUCUAUGGUGUGUUUCAAACAAAGAAGUAAUAUUUAAACUGUUUUUUACCUUUUUACUAAGGGUAAUGGUGAGAUGAGGCUUUUUGACUUACAUAUGUUAUUUCCAUCGAAAUUUAUUAGGAGCUUUCGUCUUACCAACUAGAUCCUUCCAUGAAUGUCAACACAUCAUGACCAUGCUUAAGAAUUAUAGCUCUAAUAAACGAUCCCUAAUAUAUUGUAGGAGUACAAAUUACAAAAUAGACCAUAUAUAAUGGCUUAUGGUUUUGAUCUUGGGCAUUGUGCACUUGACCAUAUCAUGUACAAUAGUGAUAGUCAUAUGCCUAUUGUCAACCACAAGCGAAAAACAAUUCUCUCUUCUUAUCCAUAUCCGUUCUCUCAUCAAUAUCUCAGUAUGCACCUGCCACUAGAAGAAAAGCAUGCCAAACACAAAAUAGCCAAGUAUAGUGAUAUCAAGCAGUAGAAGAACAUUCAUUGUCAACUAUAAGAUUUCAUUUACAAUGGCACUAAAAACCUGCAUUAUAAUUAGUGCAUUGAGUAACUAUUUUCUUCUUGUUGUUGCCUACCAUAUGUUUGUUAUAUAGUGUUAGCCGCAUUUGGCUGGAUCAAGUAAAAAUUCGUUUUUCUCAUUUAUCUAUUUAUCAGUUAUUUGGCCCGCUACUUUCAAAAUAAAUUCAUUUAGCGGGUCAAUGGAUACAAAUACGGAUCCCCGCAAAAAAAAACAAAAAAAAAACAAAACUAUUGGCGGGCUACUGGGCUGGGCCGGUGCAGGUGGAUUGGGCGCGCGCGUAGAGAGAGAGGCGGUUCCAUUGGGCUUUGAUUAAUCGAGUCCAAUCGGACCGUCUGGCCGCGUAGCCACAACAGCUAACCACGGACCCGAGCCCCAUCGCGGCGGAUCCCACGCCGGAGUGAACCCUUCGCCGCCGCCGUCCGUCCGUCGCCGGAGGGCGAGGGUGACGAGGAGGAGGAGGGCAAGAUGAAGACGACCAAGGGGGGCAAGGUGAUGAACCCCACCGACGCCUUCCGCAAGGAGCAGCGGAAGAAGGAGCUCAAGCGGGUGAGUGCCCGCCCAACCCUAGGGUUUCCCCGGUCCCCGCGACGCCCGCUGGUUCGAUGCGGGCGCCCUAUUCGGUUCGUAAUCGCGACGGUGACAACGCUGCUGAUUUGACUCGAUAGGCUUUGGUUGUGGUGGAUUAGGGUUGUACGGGGUGGGAGUGGUGACGGUAGCUUCGUAGAUUGGUUCAUCUGAUUGUGGAAGCCCCAAUAUAGGUUGUUGGUUCAUCUGAUUUGUCUGCUUUAGAGCUUGUUACGGUGGAUUGAUCACCUAGUAAUUUGACAUGGGAAAGCUCAUAUCCCAUCCAAGAUGCUUAUUUAUAUUUUUGGUUGCUACUUGUUGAAUCUGAAGAUCUUAAAUGCCACAGAAGAACCAAAUAAAUAACCUUAGAUGUUGACUGGUACUAGUAUUUUGGCAGUUUGACUGUGAAUUCUAUGCUGUUCUGAUGUGUUACUUUGUUUAGUUUUGUUGGCGAUUUAUUUUUAGGAGGAUUUGGGCUAUCUUAACUGGAAUAUGAGGUUUCAAUCUUAAAUGUGACAAGUUUUAUCAUGAAAAUGCAAAAACCACUUGUCCGUGUAGGAACUUCUACUAUAGUAAUGAAAAUGCAAAAACCACUUGUCCGUGUAGGAACUUCUACUAUAGUAAGCCCUUCACAAGGCAUCAGUAUUUGCUCCAAGGAUGUUGUUGUGUUUAGAAGAUGGAACGGUGAUUGAAGUUCUGUAGAACUUAUAGCUAUGCGUACAAGUAGCAAGGCCUUGUUGGUUGGCACUGGAGGAUCAAUCUUGUUUGGCAUACUGAACAAACUAAUUGCCUGCAAUUGUUAUGAGAUCAUAUAAAAAAUGGCACGUUGCUAAUUUAUUUAUUUGUUAUCAAUUCAUAUCAUCUAAUGGUUUUCUUUUUCCACUUAUCUUCCAUCUUCCAGAACAAAAAAGAAAGGAAGAAGGUGCGAGAUGUUGGUAUUUUGAAAAAGGAUCCAGAGGCUAUUAAGGAGCAGAUUGAGAAGUUGGAGAAGAUGAGUAAGUAAAUCAGAGUUUAUGUGCUUGCAUUUAGAACAUGAAUCAGAAAGUGAUCUUUUGUAAAAAAACUAAUAUUCUUUUUUAUGAACCUUUUGUUCUAUGCAUAUCUCAUGUUACUUGUUAUUCUGUUUUAGUUCUCAUAACAUGGUUCAUUUGGUCUGUAGUGGUAGCAUUAUUUCUAUAUUGUUCUUCCAUAUUUGGUAUACAUUCAUGACCUAUUUGCUAUGUCCCUAACUUAUUUCCAUUUCAAAUUUCGAGCGAUUUUGACUCUUGCAGUUGGCUAAUUAUCUCUGUUCUGGUGUUUCUAGUGUGGUCCUAUUGUUGAAACAAUUGUAUAGCUCAGGCAACGUAAAGCAUCAAAUAGGGUAUUAGCAUGGAGUUACCUAAUAUGUAUGUACCAUGAUCUCAUGAAGCAUUAUAUUUUGCAACAUUUGCCUCUUGUCCACCUCUUUCAAUUGUUACCUGCUCCGCCUCUGUUUUCCACAUGGCUCAUUUCACUUUCUUAUUCCCCGUGAGCUUUGUUUCUACAGGCCCUGAUAGUCUUGAUCAUUAUGGGUCUUAUGAUAACUGAAACUCAUUUUGGCAUUAGAAAAGAUAAUGGUUCCCUCUUGACCAUUCUAAUCAGUACGGUUACAAUGCUCUAUAUUCGUGUUCAUUAUUGGCCAGAUUUUUUGUUUUGAAUUCAUCAUGAGUACUUUAUUUUGAACUUAUAACUCUAUGCUCUUUUAGUUGCAUUGUUCGAGAAAAUUUUCAGUGCACAGAUUUUCUAUCAUUUUCAUACAAAAAUAACUGAUGAUUAUUUUGUCUAUUCUAGGGCUUGUCAAUCCUGAAAUUGUUCCUUUUCUUUUAUUGGUGCAGAGGCUGAUGGUGCUCUUGACAAGGCUAGGAAACAUAAGAAAAGACAGCUUGAGGAUACAUAUAAUCUUAUUGUUAAGAAAAGAAAGGUAUUUUGAUUUCAGGAAUCUAGACUCUAUGCACUUUUUUUUUAUUGUUUUUUAGUCUAUCCUACUCAUAAAUUUAUAGACUGUUUCUUUUUCAUAAUCUUUCAUCCUGUUGGACAUGUUUCUUGGUAUUGUCAUGGCAAAUUAGCUGUGCUAGUUGGCCUUCAUUUUUUGAAUUAAUUUUUGACAUUCUUUUACUAAUGUUCUAAUGAAGUUUAUCAGGAUAUAGGAAAGUGGUAUUUCAUAUGAUUUUGGUAAAAUACAGUAUGCUGUUAAGAAGCAUCUUGUUCCACUUUAUGCUGUCAGUGACUAUGGCAAUUAUCUUGACUGAAUGUUUUGAUUUGGCGUGCCUUUUUAUUUCUCAACAUUGGAAGAUUUAGACUAGAAGGGUAUGAUGGUAGUAUUGAUACAAUUUUAUAUUAAAAUUGAAUCUUAUUAGUUGUUAAGACACAUAAGUUCUGCACCAAAGUCUAAAUUUGAGUUUUGGAUUGAACGUGUAGUUUCUAGGUAACUUCCAAGGGCAACAUAGCAGUAAAUUCUUGCUAAUUCCUAUUCAGACAUAGAAGCUCAUUACUUAUGGUUUUUCCCAGGAAUAUGAACAGAAAAUGAAGGAGAAGGGUGAGCAGCCGGUUAUGUUCGGGUGAGCUUUACUGAUAUUUUAUGCAUUCAUCCUAUUAGAUAGCAAUAUUACUGUUCCUUCUCACCCGAUUGCCUUUCUUUCCCCCUAGCCAUCUUGGACCACCAAAGAGACGGCCUGCAGCAGAGGAAGAUGAUAGAGCAAAUCCUAAGCCUGAGGUAUGUUAUGUUUUUCAUUGGAAUUAUUUUUAAAGGUUUUUGAAUAUUUGAAUACAUACUUACCACGUUUGUAUUACAGGACUCUGUUUACUAUCAUCCAACCUUAAAUCCAUCCGGAGCACCGCCACCUGGAAAACCUCCCAUGUACAAAUCAUCUAUAGGUUACUAUCUUUACUCUCUUUAGCUUGUAAAUAUUUCAUUUUCUGAAAGAAAAAUCAUGAUCUUAUAAAAUUACCUUCUUACAGUUUAGUAAUCAUAACUAGCUUUUUCUCAGUUUCAUUUCUUGCUUGACAUGCAGGACCAAGAAUCCCACUGCCUUCCUCAUCCAACGCGGGGGCCUCAUCUUCCAUGUCAGAGUCUGAAGCAGGUCCAUCCACCCUGCCACCCCCUCCACCACCACCACCAUUGCCAGCCACCUCAGAAUCCAUUGAUCCAUCUGCACCUCCUUUCCCUUUGCCCCCACUCCCACCCCCACCCCCACCACCACCUAAGCCUGUCAGUGACUCAGCAAUGCCAAGCUUACCUCCGCCACCUCCACCUCCACCCGGUCCACCGCCAAGAGAACUCGUAUCAGGUCAUACAGUACUUCCACCACCUCCGCCUCCACCGCAGAGGCCGUCUGGUGCAAAUGAGAGCAUAACUGAUUCUGCUCAGGUGCCUACUUUGAAUCUCUUUUGUAUAUUUAGUAGGAAUUUUAAUAGGACAAUGUUCUAACUUGGAAAUCCUAUUGUUAAUGUAUCAAACUGAUUUUCCUAAGUUUAAAUGUUUGGAUGCUGACCUGGUCUUACCUUCUUUGCAGCCCUCGGUUGUCCUGCCUCCACCGCCUCCGCCGCCUGGGUUGCCACCAAAAUCAAAUGACAUGGAGGCUGCUGGUCCUUCAAAGGACACUCCUGGGUUUAAACAAGAUACUGCUGCAAGGGUCUUGCCACCACCGCCUCCACCGCAAUCAUCAAAUUUGCCUCCUCUACCUCCAAGGCCACCAUUGCAACCUGAUAUGCUAGCUCCUGGAGUCAUGAGAUUUCCACCGCCCCCACCACCGCCAGAUUCAAGGCCACAGUAUAUGACUCCUGGGGUUGCCAGGCCCCCUCCACCUCCUCCAGGAUUACCCUCAGCUCAGAUGCCGAUGCCACCGUAUGGCGUACUUCCUGGUCCACCACAGAUGCCUAGGCCUCCGUUUUUGCCAGGACCCCCUAUGCAUCCAGAUGAGUUUGCUGCCUUUGGACCAAGGCCUCAGUUACCUCAGCAGCCAUCAUAUGUGAAGUCAGCUGCCCCAACAGUUGUCAAGAGACCAUUAGCACAGCACACUCCUGAGCUAACGGCUAUGGUAUGUUAACUGGCUUCACAUUAUUCCUUGAAUUAUUCAAUCUUAUAGAGUUCUGUAAUGUAAGUGGCCCAUUCUGCUUUAAAUUGUUGCAGGUUCCUGCAUCUGUUCGGGUCAAGAGAGAAUCUGCUCUCCCGAAACCAAAACCAAAGGUGGUGCAGCAGCAGCAGUCAUCAACACCGUCCAUUUCAAAGCCUUCAGUGACCCUCAUAAGAAGUGAUGCCCAGCCUUCCUCAUCAGCACCCAAGCCGCCAAGCAUCGAUGAUUCAUAUAUGGCAUUCUUGGAAGACAUGAAGGAAUUAGGUGCUCUUGAUGGGUAACUCAAAUAGAGUAGAUUUCUGAUUGCACUUGAGCAUCCGCUGUCUAAACAUCAGCCCCAUCUUGAUCUGUGGCUAUUGAAUCCCGCUCAGAUACUUGAGAUCAUUUCAUGUCCCAAAAGAAAACCUUGAGAUUAGUUUAAUUGGAAAAUGGGAAAACAAUUGUAAUCAACCUUUUGGUAACUAGGUUGUUAUGUUGCCCAACUGUGCAGUGAUAAAUAGUCUCUGAAACUUAAAUGGUUGGCUCUAGCUGGGAUAUCUCCCAGCUGUAGGUUCAACGAGAACCCCCCCUGGCAGAUUUGGAGAUAGUACCAGUCGUGGUGAACACUACUGUGUGCUUUAUGUCGUGGACUAUUUCAUAUGAAAACCAGCUCAGAUAUGCUUGUGGAAAACGAGUAGAAGCUGUUGUGAGCUCGUCAUAUUUGUGCAUGCCGGUGCCGGCCAGCCUUAUUAAUCCUGCAACAUUUGUGGCUGAUGAGCCACAGCUUUUAUAAAUUAUGUGGAUAUAUGUUCUAAAUUGAAUGCAUCACUUGUUUAUUUUGAUCAGCUGGGAUUCUCUGCUUACAAAACCGUGUUAUAUUCAUAUUCUUGUACGUCUGGCACAAUCUUUUUGUUCAUGCCACGCACUAUGAAGCCUGACCACCAGAUUUCAUGAGAUAUACACAGCUACACAUGUUUCAGGCCUUCACGUCUUCCCUAGGAAUCAUUGACGAUUCUAUGUCGGUCUAGGUAGAAGGUACCUCGUCCAGCAGUUCUUUGGAAGGUUUAACAUUUCCAAUAAGGAACAUUAUCGCCUCAACAUGUAUAUGCAGACAUUCUGUGCCUAUUUGCUGUUUUUUUUUAAAAAAAACGUGCCUAUUUGCUGUUGCAAUACCCGGGUAAAUAUUCAGUGCAAAGCCACCCUCCAAUGUAAUCAUGGAAACCCAACUGCAAUCCGUUGGUUCUAAGAUGUGCGGUCCAGAUGAGCCUCCUGAGACCUGCAACAAAAUUUGCAUCUAAACCCCUGGCACCACAUGAAACAUUUUGUAUGUAACACCCAAGCUGUUCGAAAAGAACCAUUCCUAACUUGGUGCAAUAAAUACCAGCCCCGCAGUUGCAACUGGAGUCGUAUCUAGCCAAUUGUUCGCAACUAUUGUUCGAGUUGCAAUCAGUCUGCACACCAAGUUGCAAAUAUUGCAGGCCGCUUACUAACCUCAUCACAUUAAAUUGGAACAUUCCUAACUCAAGGCAAUAAAUUUCACACCCCUACAGUUGCAACUGGAGUCGUAUCCAACUAAUGGUUUGAGUUGCAAUUGGUCUACACUCCGAAUUGCAAAUAUUGUAGGCAACCUACUACCUUCGUCACACUAAAUUGGGACAUUUCUAACUCAGUUCGAUAAAUACUACCCCGUAGUUGCAACUGAAGUUGUAUCCAGCAAAUCAUUUAAGUUGCAAUCCGUCUACACUGCGAGUUGCAAAUAUUGUACGCCACCUGCUAUGGCCUAGGAGGUGUGGAUGAGAAGGUGGGGGAGGUGUAGAGGAGAAGACAAGAGGGAUUUUUGUGUAAAUGUAACAUCAACAGAUGUCACUGCUAAAAUUUUCAUGUGGAUCGCGGGGUUUGAUUGUAGAAGCAUGCCAUGUUCUCAGGACCUCAUCUGGACCGCAUAUUUCGCAUCUGACGAUCCGCAGUUGGGUUUCUAUGAUUGCAGGGUGGGUUUGCCCUGAAUAUUUACCCCAGUAUCCCCAUGGCACCAAUGUGAAGAUUCUGUAACUUGCCGAGCUGGCUCGGAGAGCUUUGGUGCACUAAGAAAGUUGGCUCGUUUGCUACUAAGCUGAGAUUCAACCUGGGUCUGAUCAAGCAAAUCUUGAAUAACUUGUUUGAGCUUUGGCAGCACUAUCAAUUUUGGUCCUACCACUACCAUUAGGUUGCUCUUUAUCCAUGAAAAAGGUCAGGAUGUCAAAAUGUUCCCUAUUUCGAAAUGUUCCAAUUCCAUGGUAGCGCAAAUGUUAUGUCCAUAGUUGAGUUGACAUCGUUUUAAAAAGAAAAGGCGUUCGAUUGGUUGACUAAUGGUGCGAGGACAUAUAAUCUGAACUGGACAUAUCCAGACUGAUCUUUUACUCACGUUUUGUACAACCGUUUGACUUUGUUUAGUCCACGAGCAACCGGAAAUAUUCCUCGGUUCCCUAACUCUUUACAAGGGAGCAAGGAGACAGCGCUCCUGCAUGAUUCUUUUUUCAGGUACCUUCAUAUGAAUUGAACCUAGCCAAGUCAACGCAGAACAUAUUGUGUCGCAAAGUUGCCAUUUUACUCCCAGUGGCAAAAGGCACAUGGGACAACAACGGCAUGAUAAGAGCUGCUAUAAGCAGUUGGCAGCUGCAUUUACACGAAUUAUUGUAAGUCUGCAAUUACGAAAUAUAGAAAUCGCUUCAUGAAUGUUCUGCAUUUACACGAUUUAUUGUAUGAAUUCCAAAAUAAUUGCUUAGCUUUACAAUUUUAGUCUCCUUUUCCCAACAAUUUGAUGAAAGUUCCCUUUUUUCUAAAUUCAUGAUAGAAACUUUACAUGGGUUGUGGAAACAACAAUGCAGACUGGAUUUUUGGAAUAUAACAUGUGAAACGAGAGAAUAUGUAUAGUAAUCAUUUGUGGACCGAGAUCACUAUCAGACAUGAGAGUUGAACUUCAGCUCCAACUGUAAUAUAUGCGAAAGCUCAUGUCCAACCACUACUGAAUGAUCAGAACUGGGUUCUGAACUUUUUCCUAAAUAUCGAUACCGUUUACUCAGGAACUCUGAAAACCUGUAUUUCAGUUCAGAAUCACCAUCAAUCAGUUCUUCCCACAAACCAGCUUCAGGGCAUCGUCAACUCCCUAUCUGGUUUCUCCAAUUGAGUGUAAGCUCUUGUUGCCUCCUCAUUGACUUCAGCAUUUCCCAUGUAUAAUAUUUACAAGAACUACCCUUGGCCUUGGGGCCAUAAAAGUAGCACAGGAUGCAGUAUCCAAAGCAACCACCUAUUUGUUCCUUUAAUUAAUCCGAAGCUACAACGACUUAAGCUAUCUUUUCUAUCCCAAGGUCAACUAUUGCUGCUGGAAUCAACCUCUUGUGAGUUCUGGAAGCUCACAGAUAGUAAAUCAACGGUCCAAAUCAGGGAAUGCGGUGACCUGAAGAAAUUGACGGGUAGAGAUGUUACAAUGAAUUACUUAUGAUGCUAUACUUGUUAAUUGUUAUGACAAGACAAAGGAAGGGUCAAAUGUAACACCCAAAAACUACUUAGAGGCACAGCUAUCUUCCGAGGUCAAUUCUAAGUGCAUAUUUGGAUAGGGAGAAUUGCUAUAGGAGUUUUUCAGGGGUUUUGUGAAACUUGAACUCAACCUGGGGUCUAGAUACGAACUCAACCACCUAGUGCAUAUUUGAAUUCAAUUUCAUUUUUUUUUUCAUGUUUGUGAUGGAAUUCCCAAAGAACAUAAUGUCACAGUUUGCGCCGCACUACCACCGAUCCAAAUCCUUCAGUUACACAAUUUCAGAUACGGAAAAGAAUGUUGAACAGAUUGGGCAAUCUUCAAACAGCCGAUCCCCCGUUGACAAUUUUGCCAUCAAUUUCACCUUGUCACUUUCGCAAUCUAAACAGGUACAUUUGUCCCCUCUGGAUGCAGGAGACCCUCUGAGUUUGUUUAAUCGCAUGAUUGAGCAUAUACCAAUCCCCAUCUCAGCUGAUAUCAUAUAUACAAGUACUUGUCACCAUCCGGCAUGUGAACUUCAAAAUUUAAUCGUACUCAAACAGCCACUUGGUUGUCCCAUUGAUCCCAGUUCUUCUUGGUCAAUGCCUGCCUGCCUCCAUAAAGGCCUAGUUGUAGCUCACCAUUUCUACCUCUGAAGCCAUUCCACACUUCCCCCUCCUCUCCGAGGCGCCAUGAGACCGUCGACGGUGACCGGGGCGGUGCUCGCCACCGCCGUGCUACUCCUUGUCGCCGUCAGGGAUGGCCAUUGCGCGCAAUUGUGCAUGGAUUCUUGUAUGCUGCCCUUGCAAUUUCUGGCAAUUGUUGUCUUGAUCUUUUGUUGUGAGUUGCAACUGAUGCUUGUGAUCAUGGCGAGCAGCGUUCCCGAGGACGAUCAACGGGUCCCUCUCCUUCUGCGGCUACAACGGCACCUCCUGCUGCAACGCCACAGACGACGCCGCCGUCCAGAAGCAGUUCGCCGCCAUGAACAUCUCCGGCACGCCGUGCGGCGACAUCGUCAAGAACAUCCUCUGCGCUGUACGGCCGGUCUCGAUUCCAUGGAUUUCUUUAGGGGCGUUCUGGAGCUCAUCAAGCAUUUGUGCUUGCAGAGAUGCAACCCGUACGCCGGCGAGCUGUUCACCGUCACGACGACGUCGCGGACGGUGCCGCUGCUGUGCAGCACCACCGGCGUGUCGAGCCGGCUGAGCACGAAGCCCGCAGCGGCGACGACGGACUACUGCUCGCAGGUGUGGGACACCUGCAAGGACGUGCGCAUCCCGGGGUCGCCGUUCCAGGCCCCCAAGGGCGGGGCGGCGGCGCCGAAGCUCACCGACUUGUGGCAGUCGGCUGGCGAAUUCUGCAGCGCGCUGGGCGGCGGCGGCGCCGCCAAGUCGCCGUGCCUCGACGGCGGCGGCGCGGCGUUCAACGCCACCAGCCCCGCGCUGCCGCUGAACGGCAUGUGCCUGGAGCGUAUCGGCAACGGCUCGUACCUCAACAUGGCGGCGCACCCUGACGGGUCCAACCGGGUGUUCCUGAGCAACCAGGCCGGCAAGGUGUUCCUCGCCACCGUGCCGGCGCAGGGCUCCGGCAAGACGCUGGGGAUUGACGUGGCCAGCCCGUUCCUCGACAUCACCGACGAGGUCCACUUCGACAACGAGUUCGGCCUCAUGGGGCUCGCCUUCCACCCGGGCUUCGCCACCAACGGCCGCUUUUUCGUCUCCUACAACUGCGACAAGACGCAGUCGGCGUCGUGCGCCGGGCGGUGCGCCUGCAACUCCGACGUCGGCUGCGACCCGGCCAAGCUCGGCGCCGACAACGGCGCGCAGCCGUGCCAGUACCAGAGCGUCAUCGCCGAGUACACCGCCAACGCCACCUCCGGCACGCCGGCGAAGGUAUAUAUCCGAUCGAUUGCUCCUCAUCCACGUGGCCGUCGCCGGCGGCGGUGCGCGCGCGCCGAUGACUGAUGUGCCGUUUUGUUUGCUCGCCGUGUCCUGCUCAGGCGACCUCGGCGAACCCGGUGGAGGUGAGGAGGAUCAUGACGCUAGGGCUGCCGUUCACGACGCACCACGGCGGGCAGAUCCUCUUCAGCCCCGCCGAUGGCUACAUGUACUUCGCCAUGGGCGACGGCGGCAGCGUCGGCGACCCCUGGAACUUCGCGCAGAACAAGAAGACGCUGCUCGGCAAGAUCCUCCGGAUCGACGUCAACACUAUGCCAAGUAAAUCGAUCUCGACCCUCAAACUCAACUUUUUUACUACUGCGUCAGGAACUUGAUCCAUAAUAGGGUUAAGAAGUAAAAAAAAAUCAAAAUUUACCAUCGAAGUGGUCCAAAAGAGUGGCCUUUGAUUUUUUUUUUUAAAUCAACUCUGAUAUCAAAGUGAAAUUUAGGACUGACCGUGUGUCCUCAAGAAUGCAUCUCGCUCUGCAAAUUAAAUUAUCCAUCUUGAUCAGACCUUUGUCCAUGUCUGGUCGAUGCCGUGACCGUGAUCUGGUGGCGAGCUCUGAAUCUGACUUGACAAGAGAGCUCUACUAUAUAUCUGCAGGUGGCAACACCACUGCCGGCUGGGGAAGCUACAGCAUUCCCAAGGACAACCCCUCCUCCACUGACUCCAGCUUCGCGCCGGAGGUCUUCGCCAUCGGCUUCAAGAACCCAUGGCGAUGCAGCUUCGACUCCGGCAAGCCGUCCUACAUGUACUGCGCCGACGUCGGCCAGGUAAACUCUUUUAUAAUCUUGUUGCUCCUUGCUCUGAAUCAAAAUCAUCACUGGAUUCUGGCCCAUUCGAUUCUUUUCUCUGAAUCAAAGUCAUCACCUUUGCUCUGAUCACUAGAUUCUGGAACAUUUGAUUUUGCAGGCGGCGUACGAGGAGGUGGACCUGAUCACGAAGGGCGGCAACUACGGGUGGCGCGUGUUCGAGGGCCCGCUGCCGUACACGCCUCUCUCCACCCCCGGCGGCAACACCUCCGCCGCCUCCAUCAACGCCAUCAGCCCCGUCAUGGGCUACCACCACAACGCCGUCAACAACAACGUCGGCUCCGCCUCCAUCAUCGGCGGCUACGUCUACCGCUCCACCGUCGACCCGUGCCUCAACGGCAGGUACCUCUAUGCCGACCUCUACGCCAAGUCGAUGUGGGCCGGCGCGGAGUCGCCGGAGGGCAGCGGCGUCUACAACGUGACCGACCUGAAGUUCAGCUGCUCCAAGAGCUCGCCGAUCCCCUGCGACGUCGCCGCCGGGAGCGCGCUGCCGUCGCUGGGCUACAUCUUCUCCUUCGGCGAGGACAACGCCAGGGACGUGUUCCUGCUCACCAGCAAGGGCGUGUACCGGGUGGUGGACCCCGCCCAGUGCGGCUACGCGUGCCCCGUCAAGAGCUCGACGCCGGGCGCGUCGUCGUCGCCGUCGCCCGGCGCGGCGCCGAGCUCGGCGGUCAGGGCGCGCGCUCCGGCGGCGUUGGCGGCGCUGAUGGCGGGCGCGCUGCUCGCCUUGCUGAGCUUGAUGAGCGUUUGAGAAGUGUGUGUGAUGUUGCUUUUUUGAGUUGAGAGUGAUUUGUUGUCGUCGUGAUGGUAUGUAUGAUAAUUGUAUGUGCAGCAGUUAAUAUUUGAUUUUGUUUUAGGGAUAAUUUACAAUUUCCUGUGUCAAUUAUGGUGAAACAUCUCAAAUUCCUGAGGGUUUCUUCCACUAAUGAGUAGCCACCUGGUCCUUUUGUUGCGAGACAUAUUUGGAACAAACUCUUGAAACUUCCUGGUAAACCCUAACACCGAAACAUGCAAAAACUAAUUUUAGACAAUUUCUCCAAAAUCCAAUUAAAACGUCCGUGCCAUGUCUAAAAACUUCCACUUUUCAACUUUUCAUUGAAGAAAAAAGCAAAUACACUAUUGUGGAAAGCUGAGGCCUUAAUGCCUUUUUUCUCACUUACAUGUCGACACAAUAGCAUAGUGAGUAAGCAAAAGCUGAUGUGAGAGUUGACUGUUGAAUUAUGAAACAUUUUGGCAAGCUGGAUUGUGAAAUCUGAGGUUAAAAGCUGGUUGUUUAUUUCAGCUGGGAAUUAUAAAGCUAGAAACCACGAUGUCUAGCUGAAAUAAAAGCAAAUAGUGAACACAGAGCUAUAAGUUCGAGGGGUAGAAAUAUGGCAUGAGGAACUAUACAGUACACAGAUGAACCUUACAAGCGACCAAACAUUUCACAUCAUGUUGGUUGUGGUACUGAAUGAAACUCUAUGUUGCAUAAUUUUGCUCUUGCCUUCAUAAGAGACUGCACAAAAGAACAUCCCCAAAAUUUAGUGGCCAUAUAGCAUUGUCCAGACCAGCGAUACAAUGCAAUGGAUGCAUCCAAAGGCAACAUCAGCUUAAUACAUGCAGUGCCUUCUCCAUCUAGGGCGAAUGAGAAGAGCCGAUGCAUCUGAGAGGGGCAGUUCAAAGUCAGCUACACAGGUGACCAAACAAAUCAGGUUGUCAGAUAUAGAUACAGAACUAAUCCUGUUCAACCUUAAAGCUACAAUCUACAUGUGGAAAAAGUUUCACAAAUGCCGAUGGACUGCACUCAGUGUACAGAUUUCCUCCAUAUUCUCAUUGGCAUCACGCGCCUAAAACUAAAUAAACGGAGGCAAUAAAGUUAUAGCCUACAGAACUGGCCGCAAUGCAGCAUCAAUUAGUCUGGCCAUAAUACAGCAGCGGUCCAUUGAUGCGCGCCCUUCAUGUAGUGUACAUAACCAAAAGCAAAACUUCCUCAUGGCUUCCAAGUAUGAAAUAGCACUCGGAUAACAUUUGAAGAAGCUCAAACCCACUUCCAGUGGAACCUCGCCUCUCCUGUUACUGCAAAUCAAUGAAGCUAUCAGCUCAAACCACCAAUAUAUUCUCGCACCAUUCAUUACAAGCCCAUUGAUCUGUCCAUACUCGGAAGUCGGAAUACCAGCCACCAGCAUUCAAAUGUAUCAAAAAACUUAUGUCCUAACUGUUAUCCAUGUCAUCUUUCACUGUCAGGCUUGGCCCAUCAUCAAAGCCACCUCCAGGUGCAAGCUGAUUUAGAUCUAGGAAUGUUCUCCCUACACUUUCACUUUCCCUGCUGGGAGCAUGGUCCAUCUUCUCUACAGGCUGCUGCUGUUGCUGCUCCUGCUGCUCAUCUGGUUCUACUUUAUUUUCUGCUACAGCAUGGUCCUCCUCCAUUUUAUCAUUCACAUUAUUACCGUUUUGCUCAUCAGGACUAUCAUCCUCUUCUUCCUCCUCUUGCUCUUGACUUGACGUCGAGAGUUCCAUAUCAUUCUCUGCAUCAGAGCCAGCAUCAGGAUCUGAUGCAUCAGAUUUCCUUGCCUUUCCUGGCUCUGUAUCCGAGUCUGAAAAAUCAUAUUGCCGAUAGUUAAUACGAGGACGUGAAGAGCGCUUGCUGCGUCUGAGACCGCUCUGGAUUUCAUCAACAGAUCUCAACUUGGAACCUCGCCGGCCACGUGUUUCCAAUUUUUUAUGCUGUUGUGGCUCAAUAUCUUCACUGGUACUCAACGAAUAUUCCUCUUCUUCUUCAUCAUCAUCUUCAGCAUCUUCUUCCAACCGGAACUCUUCAUCCUCUUCAGAAGCACUCGAUGCCUUCUGCUGUUUACGACUUCUCAGGUAUUCCUCAUCAUACACUGCCUCUCCCAUGAUAUCAUCAUCGCUGUCAAAAUUUGGAUCAAUAUCCGAGACAGCUUCAACAAAAUCUUGUGUGUACCUCUGAGAUCUUUUCCUCCGGCGGUUGCUGUGACACAAUAUAAACGUUCAUGAGCCCAUUACCAUGAGUAGGGCAAUAACAAACACCAUAUACAUAUGCUAAGAUAGGUACCUGCGAUCAAGUGCCUCAUUUUCUUGUUCACCAUCACUGUCUCGGUAGUCAUCCGACUUCGAAGAAUUCCCGUCAAAUGAAUCGUUGGCUGUUGGUGAGGGACCAUUUAACUUUCCAUUGCUUGGUGCCUCUGAUCUCAGAGGAAGCACCCUUCUAUUGGUGGUAGUAGUAGUAGUGACAGGCUCAGCUGAGUUCUCCUCUCUUUUCCUGUACGAGAAUGCAAGAGAUGAUUACACUAUAGUUUAUAUUCCUUCUGACUAAGACAUAUCAAGAAGAAAUCAUUUCCAUACUUUGUAAUUUUGAUGGCUUCAUUUAUUGAGCGAUCAAAAUCAUCUGCAUUAUAAACAAAGUCAAACCUUGUAACAAAACAGACGGUAAAAUUAAUUAACCAAAUAAUUAAAUGGUUAGACUGAAAAGGCAUAUUCCAACCAUCAAUGUCAUUUGAUUGUAUAAACAGACUCAAACCUUGCAACUAGACAGAUGAUGAAAUUAACCAAAUAAUUAAAUGAUUAGACUGAAAAGAUAAGCAACCAUCAAGAACAGAAGUGUAUGAGCAUUCAGGACCAGGAAAAAAAAUGGAGUGUCCACAUGGUUUGUAUUAAUCUCAGUUAGUUUCAGCUAUCGUUUAAUAAUCCAGAUAAUUUCGUACCGAACCCCAACUUAGAAUUUAGCUGGAAGUUGGGCCAACAUAUCAAUAAGCAAUUUAAACUACAGUCAAAAUCAUCUAUUCUUUUCUUUUCUUUCAGCAGUUACACCUAUGCUAUUGAGUACAUUUCAAUAAGCAAUUUAUUUCCCAACAAUAGGAGGGAUUUAGAUGAGUACAUUAUCAAGUGACGUGCCACUGAACACCAACAUAUUUUAUAAGAGCAGUCCAACCUUAAAUUGCAGCCUUCCUACUUGAUCAAUAUAGGUCAGGAUGCCAUGGAUCCACUUAAACUCAAGCUUUGUUAUACUGCUAAAGAUUUGCAUUUACGCUACCAUUAUGGCAUUGAGUCUGCUGUUAACAACCAACAACUCAUACUAACAAGUAAUUACGCUCGGGAUGCCAACAAGGGCAUUGAUAUAACAAUGAUAAAUGGCGAAAUGUCAUUCGGGCAUCCAACCGAGAUAAUAACUGAGGUGUUAAUCAAUGAGAAGCACUUAAGGUUAACUCAAAACAACAUGGAAAAAAGCAGAACCAUCACUAAGAUGUUAAAUUAAAAAUACCAUCCAGUGUGACCUGACAAAUAAGACCUGGGGUCACAUGCCAGCUAAGCAUUUCUGCUAAUUUCCACUCAGACAAAAGCAGUUUGACCCCAAAAAGCUUAAUUCAGUACUUGAGCUUACCAAAUGUGUAAGUCACAGGCUUUCUAUCACGGAGAGAGCGACCAGUCGUAAGACCAUCUGAUGUCAAGUAGCUAUCAAGGAGGAGGGCUUCUCUUUGUUGCUUUUUGAGCAACCUCUCUUUCUUCUGCGUGAAUCAGAAAUGGUUGAUUAAGGGGCUAGAAAAAUGAUCACUAGCAUAAUAAAUCUACUAGGCUGAGUUGAAUGAGCCACGCACUUUAUGGAUCUUUUCUAUCUCUGGAAGAUAUUCGAUCUUCAGCUUCUUUCCAAGGGAAACCUCUGUCCUGUUCCGGCUUGAAAAGAGUUUUUCCUAAACAGCAAAUGACAUAAAUCAGCUAAUAUCAAUAGACAUCACAUUGUAAACAGAUAAGAAUGCAAACAUAUGAUAUUCAGGCAAUAGUAGCAUCUGACUAAUGGCAUACCCACAUUUUAGUCCAAGUAGCUAUACUCUGUUCAAUCAUGGAAGCUACCCAGCCAAUGGUUACACUUACAACAAGAACACUAUGCAAAUAUUGACACGUUAUUUAGAUUGCCGACGCAUGGGUUGCAGGAUAUGAGUAUAACUUGGCUGGCAUGAACAUGGUCUACAACAUAUGCACUGUGCAAACAAUGAAACGAUAGGUGGGGAAUGAUUCUAAUAAUCUUAUGCAAAUUCAAUUAUUAGGGAAAUACUUUAGAAAGCUCAUGUACCCUGGCCACAUUGACGCUAAUAAUGUGCUAUUUACCAGAAAGCUGGAAAUGUUUCCAUUUUUUUAUCUUGCAUAUGGGUCGUGGUUGGAACUUAUGUAAUUCCGUUGCUGAAGAAAUAAAAUAUGGGUCAUCUUGCGUAAAAAAAAAUUGUUGUACAUGAAUAAUAUAAACUCACUAGUGAAACAAAGGAAAAAAGAUGUGGGGGUUCCAAAUCUCAACAAGCAGCCUAACUUCCAAGUCGUACAUGAUCACAUAUAACAUGUACACAAAAGACCGACAAAAUUCUAAAGCAGGGAUCUAUAAAUAUCUAUGUACACUGGGAAAAAUGCUUCAGUUUAACAUAAGAAAGGAGAAAUAGAAAAAAAGGAGGAAAUUAUAGCAAAACAAAGUAAGCACAUUUUAUUUCAUUGUUGUAUUUUCCACUGAAUCAUCUUAUUAAUCCUUAUGCAAAUCAAUUUAAAAUAUGAAAUUUGGCUGAUAAACAAGUUCUACCUCCACCAUUGUUCCCUCUAUUUUGGGAUAGAAUGUUCUUUGCCAUCUCCUAGCUUUGCACAUUACUAUUUCUCUGAAGUGAAAAUAACCAAAUAAAGUGGUGCAAAGAAACUAAGGAAGAAACCUCAUUUCUGUGGACAUCUAAGUGUAAACUAUUGCCAACAGGUAUUUUGGUAUGACAGAACAAAACACAAUUCAUAAUCCUCAUAUCCAGCAUAUAAUUUUCCAAACGUUACAUGAUAAAAUUAAAAUACAUCACAAACAAUCAACACUAUCUACAUUUUAUAACAAUAACAGGGGGGAUGGCACUUAAUAAUUCACUCUGUGGGGCAGACAUGAGGAACUCAAAGUCAAAACUUACUGCAACAUCAUCAAACUCAUCAAAGUUUGACGCGACAGUUUCCCACUGAUAGGACACAACUGAAAUAGCUGAAGAUCCUCCUUUUCCCCUGGAUCUCUUUCCUGGCUCCUUCUUGACCUGUUCCACCCGUCUAAUCUCACGAUACAAUCUAUGUCCGAGAAUCUCAUCAUCUUCAUACCUGCUUUGCAUGCCUUUGCAUGAAAUCAAAACAAAAAAAUCUUUCAAUUCAAGAUAAAUAAUUCUACCCACCAGUAUGAGAUUCCAAGGGAAUCUCCACCAAUCCGUUCUUUACGGAAGGUAGAUAGGUCAUGGCCUUGCUUGAGGGAACUGUCGAUGAAAUUCCGAAUAUCAUCUUGCUGCGAAAUUAUGCCUGAUAGUCAGGUAUGUUAUGAAAAAGUAACUUGCAGCUAAUUUCAAAGAAACAUUGCAACCUAUUUCCAUACACAUACCAAUCAGCUAAUGUCAAAGGAACUUAAUACACUUGCUGAAAAAAUUAUGAUUCAUAGAAAAGUCUUUUCUAGCAGUCUCUUUAAACUUUCACAAGUCCAUACCACCUAAUGUUUGAAAACACAACAAGUGUGUGGAUAUUAAUCGUGCUGAUAUUUACCCACUAUAAGGAAAAAGGCUUUCCUAAUAACUGAACCAGCAACGCUGGGACUCACUCAAUUGAAAUUGCUGUACACAACUCCGACUGUACUACAAACACAAGAAAUGAGGCAAGAGUAUACAAACAUAAAGGCUAAAAUGUCUAUUCUUGGCAAACUUACCUCAACACGAAUAUCACAUAUAGCUUUCAAAAUCACUAAACGAGUCGCCGGCUCUAGUGUCUUGUACGUUUCAAUUUCAGUUCUGCAAGAUGAAAACAUUGGAGAAAUCAUCUAUAUGAAAUUGCAGCGCAGAGUUUAAUAAAACAUGUCUUGUGUGCUGAACUAACCCAUGGGAUGCAACUAUUGGAAGAUCACCUUCUGCAACCUGCAGUUUAGACCUUUAUUAGCUUCAACCAAAUGGAAUACCAUAUACCAUAAUCGCAUUUAUCCAGAAUUGUUUGCAACAGGGAAUAUAUAGUCAUAUACCCAAUGCCACCAAUCCUUCAGCUUUCUACACAGGACGGUCACCCAGGUUCCACGCCCCAUGGCCAUGCGAGUUACCGGAGGAAUUGACUGCAGGUAUGAUCAAUAAGCAUGUGAGAAUUGAAGACAACUGUUGCAUGGCAAACAAUGUACCAAAAAAUGAACUGUCUAAGGGGCUCUAAGAAAACAGGAGAACACUAAUAAAACAGGAGGACACUAAUAGAGUUCCUAACAUGCAUGAUCAUUACAAAAACAUGAUCUAAUACAUAACAAAGUAUAUUGAAGUCAUAAACCUAUUGAGCAAGUGACUUUGCAUGAGCACAAAAAAAGCGUAAAAAUGAAUAAAAGCUACUAUAAACUGAAGGCAGCAUCGAAACUCAGUGACAUUGGAACGCAAGCUAACCGACAAAUUUUAGUUCUAGCAGGGAAAAGUUAACACAUCUUUAAUACAUUUGAUCAUGAACUGAUGAACAGCAAGAGCGCACAACCCACAACCCCCACACACAGGAAGAUAGAGGAAUAGGGGAAACAGCAUCAAACAAACUGACGUCCAAGGAGCUUACCUUUAGCAGCGGCAUGUGCACAUCGUCUAGGGUCUCGUUGGGCGUGAUAAGCGCCGCCUCGAGGUCCUCGGCCGUGAACUCCGCAGUGAUGUUGAGCAGAGGCCGGAACACCUGCAGCAAGCAAAACAGUGCCACAGCGGCGUCAAACCCUAACCCUAUCUCCAAAGCCCACAGCACGGAACAGAACCUAAGCUCCCCAAGGUCCAGAGCAAGGCGCCGGGGAGGGACAAGGGGAGCACGGGAGCCAGGAAGCACGCACGUGGAGGAAGUUGAGGACGGAGCCGAGCUCCCACAUGCAGCGGAGCCGCCAGCGGGGCAGCUCCGCGGGCGCCACGGGCUCCAACACGAGCGGCGUAACCACGCGGCAUUGCGGCGUGUCGUCCGCGCCCGCCGCCGCCGCCGCCGCCGCGCGCCGGCGCGGCCGCUCGGGCGGCGGCGGCGGCGGGGGCUUGGGCUUGUUGUUGCACGCGCGCGGGAGGCGCGUCUUCCGCGGGGUCGGCUGCUGCUCCUCCUCCGCCGGCGGGGCCGCCCGCUUCCCCGCCUUCCCCGGCGGCGCCUCCGCCUCCUCCUCCUCCUCCUCCUCCUCCCGCUUCUCCGGGGAGGCGGGAGAGGCACCGCCGGCGGCGUCGGGCAUGGGGGAAGGAUCAGAUCGGGGAUCUGCGCCGGGGCUAGGGUUAGGGUUUGGGUCGGAGGGGGAAGCGGCGGGCGGGGAGGGGGAGGCGGAGGCCAUGGGAGGAGGGGAGCGGAGGUGGGGAAGGGUAAAAAUGGGAUUCCGCGUGGUAGAGGUGAGAGGAGAGGGGCAGGAUGGGAAAGGCGACCCGAGGGGCGUGGCGUCAAGCCGUCAACGUGAAGAAUUGGGGUCCGGCCGCGGCCAGGGCUCGUGCGACGCGCGAGCCGGCGGGUGCGUUGGGUUGGCCCGUUGGCCGUUGGGGGCUUGGGGCUGCGGCCUGCGGGGCUCGUUGGAGUUUGGAUUGGGUUUCUUGUUCGUGAUUUUCGUUUGUGAACUAUAUGGUUGUGAUAAUGAAUUAAUGGUGUAUAAGGAGUAGUUCGUAUACAGCGCGGAAACAACUUUAAAUACGGCAACAUAUCUGGGAAACUCCUGAAAUGAAAAUCCUUAUUUUUAUGUUGGUGAUGAACUUUGUGGGUACCACGGGACGAAAGAAGUACUCCUUCCAUUUCAAAUUUCAAAUUAUGUUCCGCUUCCUUUAAAUAAGUCAAACUUCUGUUGAUUAAUUUUAAAUCUGUAAUGAGAAAAGGGUAAAGUGGAUUAUAUGAAGAACCAUAUUUCAUCAAGAACGAUCAUUUUGUUGGUCGCAUUAUUGCAUACAUACAAGGCCAACAAAAAGCUUGUCUUCACGAGUUGGACGCAGCAUAAAGUCACUGGUAACUAGCAUUAGACCAACAUGAUCGUUGGUGAGACGGCCACCCAAAUGACCAUGGCAACAUAGGUGAAUGAAGCUGCGGGUUCGAGCCCCAUCAGUCCUGAACUAUUUACAGGGACGCCUUUUGGAUCCAUUGUUGAUACAUUGCACACUAGAUGUAGUUUUGCAUUGGAAGUUUUUAGAAAUGUUGUUACAUAAUUUUGUGGCGAUAUAUCAGGAGCGCAUAGUUUUGUGACACUAUUUUUUUUCAAACUAUGAGUAGCUUUGCAAAGUUAACUCUAAAAUUUGACUUAUCUUAUUUGGAUGGAAGAAUGUACAAAGCUAGAGGGUAACAAUAAUUCCAUUCGCAUCUGAGCGCAAAGGUCAAUCCAACAUUUGCAAAGGUUAUAACAUGGCAGCCCUAUACGACGAGCCUUAAUCUGAGACCGAGAAGGCUUUGCUUUGGCCAGCCUACCCCGAGCAUCUGAUCUGGAAACCAAGCCAGAAAAGACGAGGGAAGUCAUCAGAUCCAGUAUCUCUCAACACGGCGAGAAAGCAUUAGCUCUGAGCACUUCCUCGCAUUUGCAGCUCGGUGCACCAUUUCGGCUCCUCAUGGCCGUGGCCACACAACUCAGAAGUCAGAAGGCACCAGGAAAGGCAGCGGAUCCACCCAGCUCGUUUCGUCCUGCUAAUUUCCGACCAAACAGCUGCAGCGUCUGCGAAAACGACUCGGCUGGUGCGCAUUUCGUGCGAGUCAAAAAGGUGGCUCAGACAUCGCUGAGAAACGGGCUUUACGGUUGUGGCUUUCAGUUCAUGGAUGGAUGAGAAUCAGAUGCCACGGCAUCAUGGAACAUUGAAAUUUCGUUGAAUCCCUCGCCGACCUGCGAGUUCAGUGAACAGAAAUAGCUUGACCGGAAAAAAAAAUCACUAGUCUUGACAGCACGAGUAUCUUUGGCAGUGAACAUCGCAGAUGUUCAUGAGAAACUCACCAAAAGCAAACCAGAAGCAAAUAGGAGGUACUCCUGAAAAUCCCUUCUAGCAAACCUCCGCUACCCUCAGAAGCAAGAAAUCGGUUUUGCCCAAAGCAAACAUUCGUGAAGCCUCAAAGGCUCAAACUGUGCGACAUCAUAGGCAUACAACAGAAUUUCCAUCUUUUCGUGUACCAAUCUGAGCUACAAAAACUUCCCAGGAUACAUCAUACAUGCAUGUUGCAAAGUCCGUACAAAGAAGCUGAUGGAAAUAAUGAAAGACAGUGCUUGCUCCUACAGAAACGUGGAAUGCAUCUAUGGCACUAUGCCCCCAAAUUAGGAAUAAAAGAACUUUGGCGACAUGAUAACCUGGAAAAAAGAAUUAAACCUAGCACCGUGGUCCGUGGACUUGAUUGAUCCCGGUACUAUUUAUUAGCGACCACGAGGAAUUUUGUUUUGCUGGUCUCCUUGUUUUAUUUAUGUCACUCUUUCAUAUGUAUUGCCAAUCUGCAUGUGAAGCCAGUCUGAUGUCAAGGCCUGAGGGUAUUCCCUUGGUGUGUGUGGAUCGAAUGUCAGACCAGGUGCCGUACUAUAAGGCGGAGCUGGAGCAUCAAACUGCAAGAACGUGGCACCAGUGAACCUUAUUGAACCUUUUGUGUUAGCUUCAAGGCCCAUUUAACAGAAGACCAAGGACGAGCAUAAAACUCAAAGAAACUAGUAUGCCAUUUCAACAACGUAAUGAUCCUAGAAUCUAGAAUUUUCAGCAGCAGCUUGUCACAUAUUUACCAAAAUUUAUGACCCCAUUAUGAUGUAGCAUGAAUAAAACUGAAAAAAAAAACUCAAUAAGAUGGGAUGACAAGUUCUAACCAUUUGGUUUGAAAAAGCAAAGCAUAAUGUCGUUACUUUGCUUCAGCUACGAAUUGUGCAUAUGCAUCUAGGAACACGUCACGACCAACACAGUUUUGAAUGGUUCACAUAGGUCAAAUGACUCUAAAACCAUAAAGAGUGCAAAGCUUCAAAAUCAGAAAAGAAAAUCAAUAUUUUUCUGCUGCUGAAGGUUUAUUAAUAAUAUAGAGUGAUGCAGCUUGAGAUACCCACCAUAGUUGCAAUACAUGUAAAUGCAAAUAGGGGUAACGAGGUCAGGUUACUUUGAGCUAACAUGCUGCGCGUGCAGAAAACAAGAUGCGCAUUGAUUCACCCUAGAGUCCUAGACUAAACUUUUUAUCAAGGAUCCUUCCAGCUAAGGUUUAAUUAUUCGUAAGUAUACUUACAUCUUUAGAUGGGAAAGACCCAGUUGCACUGUUCACAUGGGCAUUAACCGCUUCAAGCUUCAUGGACAAAAACUGUAGAGAACAGGUAAAUUAGUAAAUUGAACAUAUGCAAGACAACUUCACAGCACGAGAUCACAUACCUCCACUUGACGCUGUAGAGAUUGGAUGUAAUUUAUUAUCUCAUCAAGGACUGAUGCUUUCCCAAUAACCUGACAAAUGGAAAAAAAGUAUAAUGUUUACAGCAGAAGCUUGAAAAAAGCACUCUGAGAGGACAGAGCACAUGAUAAUUGAGAACUGAAAGUAUGACAGCACAAAUUUUUGAAUCUGUGGGGUAAUUCGACAUGUACCUUAUUGCAUCCAGGGACAAGAUCUUGAAGAACUUUCAUCCGUUCACUUAUCUUCUCUCGUCGUGCCUAUCAGUACACACAUAUUGAGUUGAUCAGGUAUUAAUUUUAAAUUCUGAAUAACUACAAAUUCACAUAAAAAGGCUAUAACAACAGUUGCGCAUUCCAAUCUCUGUAAGAACUUAGUCACUACUAUCAUAGUCUUGUGAGAAAAUAUUAAGAAAAUAUCCAAGAGUAAAGGGUGAAAAGACCAUACGAACAGACGAACAGUAAGAGCUUACUCUUUCUGCAAGGCUAUGGCUGUCCGUUGCUUGACCUCUUCUAGCCCUCACAUGGAUGUAGUCUUGUUUCGGUGGCUCUGGUGGUGCAGGUUUUUUAUCAACAGACUUGCUAGCAUUGCCUGAAUUUGUUUCAACUUCUGUCCUUAUUUUAUCAUCACUAGAUGUCAUCUUCUUCAAACGUUUUGCCAUUUCUGGGUCAGCCUAAGAAAAAGAAUAUACACAUGAAUCGUCCGAACUGAAAUACUUGUCAUUUUACUUUGUGUAUUUAAAAUGCCAAGGAAAUUCAGCCCCAACCCAGGACAAGUAGAGAAAGGUAAAACAAAUGCUCGGAGCAUGCAUGUAACUGAAGAAACAAAGAAUGAGUUUAAUUUUAAGCAUCGAAAUUUGUAAGUCAGCUACAGUAACUUGAAGGAAGACCAAAAGCUGUGCCACCACCAUAUAGAGAGCAUGUUCUCCACUGCUCCCAGAACCCAGCCACUGCACGCUGUUGCUCACAUGGUCAGACAAAACAGCAAUGCUGCACCUGCCUAUUUGGCUGUGGUUUCAGCUUAUUUGACAGCACCCACCUAAAUUUCCAUACCCAUGACAGCGAUACUGGACCAAUUGGUUUGACUAGAAGCUACAGACUAGAGCUGCAAAAAGUAGCUCAUCCUACACUAAACUAAACAACAUCGAGCCCAAGCGGAUAGUGGUGUAUCCCUGCAAACGAUGGUCCACGCUUCCCCUGUACAUCUCCUGACUGGAACCUCAUUGAGCACAACCCCCAUUCUACAUGGCAUUGACCAUUGAUUUCGGCAGGUAAUGCAACAACCGGCAAGGCAGAGGUUCAGUAUCCUCAAACCAGUCGAGUCACUUUCGCCAGCUUCGAUUUGAACUGACAGCGGACCUAACUGCGACGAGCCACCGCCGAGCAGAAACGGGGGUAAAUCCGAUGGCACGGACGAGCAGAUCACGGCAGCGCGCUUGCCCAAGCUACAAUUCACAGCGUAGCACUCCCACAGGCUAAAAUCCAGCUCCCAGAACCACCAACCCAGACACGGAUCACAGUCGAUGCGACGCGGGAGGGAAGGAGAGGAGCCAGCCCUACCGAGUCCCGGCCGCCGCCGCCGCCGCCGCUGGCGGCGGCGGUGCCGGAGGUGGAGGCGAGCUUGGACGGCUCCUCCUCAGCUGCAGGCGCGUCGCGUCGCGGCCUCCUGCGGCUGGACCCGCCGCCGGAGCGUCCGCCGUUGCUCCGGUCGGCGGUGGUGACGACGGAGGAGGCCUCGUGGUGCGGGCCGGAGGCGGCGGGGGCGAGGUGGUGGUGGUGCGGCGGCCGCCAGAGCUCGGCGGCUACCACAGACGAGGCUGCGGGAUCCAUGCGCCGCCGGCGGCGGGGGUGGCGAGGUGGGGAGCUCUAGGGUUUCGGCCGCGCGCGGGAGCAGCGCCGGGCGGCCAGAUCGGGGGAGGUGGAGCUGGAUGGCUGGCAGUGGCAGCGUGGGCGCGGAGUCAGAGGUCAGAGAAGACCGGAGGAAGAGGAACCGAGGAGAGCCGAAGGAUACGAUGCGAGUGAGAAAUAAAAAUUUGAAAAGCCGGUGGGGUUUGGGAUUCGGGACAUUCAUUGAUGGGGCUAGCUGGCUGGCUAGUGGCUAGUACUCACUAGGAUGGGGAUGGGGAUCUAGGCUUGGGUCCGUACCGGAUUCGAAGCAAAGCCGUUGCGUGUCAAGGACUCAAGAGCAACUUCAACCGAGUUUUCGCCCUUCGUGUGUACGUACACUCAUCCAUGAUCCUUAAAAUCACAUUAUGUGGUGUAAAGAAAGAGUGAAAAAUCGUACAUGCAAAAAGUACAGGUUCUCACUUCAUCAACCUUUGCAAUUGCCACGUAAACAACAUGAUGAGCAUUUGAACAAGUGGAUAAGUAACAUGAGAGAAAUUUAUCCUUCAUGGAGACAUACAUAAUGUGACUCAAAUAUUGCAAUCACGUAUAAUUGACCAACCUUAUCGACAAAUUAAUUCAUAAAAGUAAAAAUUACAUGAGCAUAAAGGUUCAUCGGUUCAUAGACUGAAAAAUAGGAUAAGAUGCAUUAUUUACAUACACAUGUAUGUUUCGAUUAUAGAAGAAAAUCUCUAGCUCCAAUGUCAUGGUGCUCUCUUAUUCUUUUCGGUCUUCAUCAUUGUCAUCGAUGGUGACACGAGCAUGGACCUUGGCGGCAUGCGGGGCGAUAUAGCGUUCCUUCCAAUGUUUUGGCUUUGUGAUUUUUAUAGUUCUCCAUGGCUACAGCAACAGCUUUUUAGGAUCGUUAAUACUUAUGUUUUUUGCGAACAAAUCCGUUUGCAUUCUUAAACUUAAUGAGUUUUGGAGCUAACCAUGCAACAACAUUGAGGUUCAAUUUUUUUUUCACAGGUAGGAGGAUUCGGGGAGGGGGGCACAGCCCCCCAUGGUUGGGUUCGACGGGUUUAUCAUCUUUUGCUAAUACUAUUAGACUAAGGUAAAUAAAAGAUCUUAUCGUAUCCUUUAAUUAACGCAUUAAUUAACGCAGAGCAUAUUACUGUUACCGGUCAACAGCUAACUGAUAAUCCAUGGCUUGAUUUGGUAAGCUCUUUACUUAGGCCCUGUUCGGAUACCUCGUGCUAAAGUUUAGCACCUGUCACAUUGGAUGUUUGGAUGCUAAUUAGGAGUAUUAAAUGUAGGCUAAUUAAAAAAUUAAUUGCACAGAUGGAGUCUAAUUCGCGAGAUGAAUCUAUUAAGCCUAAUUAGUCCAUGAUUUGACAAUGUGGUGCUACAGUAACCAUUGCUAAUGAUGGAUUAAUUAGGCUGAAUAGAUUCAUCUCGCGAAUUAGCACAAGGUUCUGCAAUUAGUUUUAUAAUUAGCUCAUGUAUUCUUCUAAUUAGCAUCCGAACAUCUGAUGUGACACUGCUAAAGUUUAACCCCUGGUAUCCUAAGUUUGUUCUUUGAAAAAUUACGUGUACCGGAUUUGUAACUGAAUGAACAGACCAGCAAGUUCAGCAGUGAGAAGGCCUAAAAAGUAUUUGGGCCCAGGCCUAAAUGUAUAGUACUCCUCGCAAGGCCCAUUAAGCGUUUUGCUUUCGCGAAAUGGACAAAUGUACGUAAGUCCCAUGGAUCACCGAUUUAUUCUAUUCUCAUUUCUUGAAUCUUGUGAUUUCUUUCUCUCUCUGUCGCGACGUGCAGCACGCCACAUGCGCAGCGCGUGCACGAAAGACUACUAUAGCCUCCUUUUACAGGCAAGCAGUGCGGCUGAUUAAACAAAGCCAGUAUGCAUUCACAUGAAGAAGCAGCUCGAUCAGCAGGCGCUCUACCAAUGGGGGCUUCGGCUCCUACGAAGAAUGAACACAGAGCCGCUGUUUGUUAAUAGAAUAGUGCAGUGGUUUAGCGCACAUGCAAAUACAAACAGCAAGCCAUGUGAUGGGCGAGCACGUGAUUUGCCAGGGAAACACAAAGGCCAGCAAGUGUAAUAAAGGGAAUCCCAUUAUAAAACUCGAUUAGAUGGUCAUUUUCAUGGCUUUUAGGAAAACAACAGACAGCUGGUAGCCACGAACGGAAAGAAAAGGGGAAAAAAGAAAAAAAAUGCAUUAUUCCAUUUAAUGAGGCCGUGCAAGAAAUAAAGGAGAGUAGCUUGCACGCUAAGGCAAAGCAUUGCACCUGUACUGUAGCAACAAAACAUUGUUUGGCUUUGUUGCUUUAUGCUCCGACACUAUCUCGUGCAAGGUAAUACGGUGAGUUGCUCAUUGUCGAAUCUAGUAGCACGAUCUAAAAUUCCAAUUGGGUCUAGAUGGAAAACCUGCGUCGGCCCUCGCGUUGCCCCAGGAGUGACUCGGGCGCCGCCGCCUCCCUCACGCGUAACGCCGCCUCCCGCCUCGUCUCCACCUCGCCGCCGCCGAAGCUGGCCACGGAAGUCCGUAGGGCCGUAACGAGGGCAGCGGCGGGCUCAUCGCCCCCCCCCCCCCACGAAGCCCCCUCCUCUCCCUCCACAUCUUCCCCUACCCCCAUCCUUUCCCGUUGCUACUGUGGAAGGUGCCGGCGGCAGCUGUCGCCCCUAGGCUGGUGGUGUGCAGAUCCGGCUCCGGCAAGCUCGGAUCUGGUGCUACCCAGCCCGUUGGGGCCUCCCCUGGCAGAUCCAUGAGAGGGCGCCUCAGCGGGCUCAAACUUUACCAAGCUGCUACCUACUGCUUCUUCAUCGGCUCGCCGGGUCGAGCUUCCACCACGCCGACGAGGCCCUGCUACUUCCCUACAUCGUCCCGUGGUGAUCCACGGGGUGAGUAGCCCGUGAUCACCUGGGGCAUAGGGAGCUAGGGUCCUGUGAACCCGGCUCUGAUAGCAGCAGUGCUGCGUGAGUCUGCGACAUUCCGUGGAUGCCUUCGACCCUGGCUGGGAUUCCCCGGUUCCAUCGCCGGCCACCAUUGUGGACGACCGUGGUGGCGGCGCAGGUACUUUCAUUUUCUUUUGAGGUACUUCGUCUUCCCUACUGGUAGCCAUUUGAUGGAGAUUCACCAUUUUGUGCGACAAAAGUACCACGCCUAGUGUGUGGGAGGUGCCCCACCUCCACUUCGGGAGGUGCCCUACCUCUGCUUGCAAGUUUGCUGAAUCUCUAGGUGUCCAUGGCUCUGCUGCUACCUUGCAGCAUUUUGCUUUGCCGGUGGUCCUGCAGUGAAAGCGUCGCGCCCGGUGCGCGGGGAGGUCGCUGACCUCCGCACGGUCCACCGCUAAGGAAGCCUGUGGGUUCUCCCUAAGCCCCAUCAUCUUCUUGUUCCUUUGGUCAUGGCCUUGAUUUAUAUGGUUGCUGGCUUCAUCCAUGAUUCGAUACGUGUCUGGUUCUGACGUCUCUUCUUUGUCAUUGCACUCCUUGUUUGUGGUGUCAUCAAGUCAAAUGCCGGGUGCGCUCAUUGUAGCCGACCUUCCCUCCUUUGAGGCUUCCUCCCCUUGUUGGGCAUUGGAUGGCGGUAGGUGGGGGCUCGGAUGUGCGGAGAAAGGUGCUGCCACUAACUUGAAGGGAGGUCGGUGUUUCUAGAUAAGCUUUGGUAGGUGUUCUCCUUCUGCUUUUAGUUCCCUCGCUGUUGUGGCAAUCUCUCGUUCCCUCAAGGCUUCCUCCCCUUGUUGGAUGUGGUUGGAGGGUGGCGGCAACGAGGCGUAGUUACGAGAGGUGGAAGGUAGCACACCGGCCUUGUGAAGCUAGCAAGUAUGUUGCUUGGUCUCGAUGAUGCUCUGUAGAGAAUGGUGGAUUGUUUUCGGUUUAUGCAGAUUAUGGUCUUUGUCCUAGGUUAGGGUUGUGCUUUCUCCUUUUACUGUCUUUUUCUUUAUUUCGUUGCGGCUCGCAACUCAGGAUGUAAUCCUUUGUAUCUUGCUUUUGUCGAACUACACUAGCAGUUGCUGAUUUAAUUUGUGGUUUGCUAUAUUUUUUAAUGACAAGUUCAGGUUAGCAUCUUGCCCGCCUUAAUUCCCUUAAAAAAAACUAUCUCGUGCAGCAAAACAGGGGGAGAUGGAGCAUAGAGUGGUGCCAUAGGAAAGGAUAAUUGAGUCCCCUCCUUUGUUUUGGUCCCACCCCUUCUUUCCAAAAAGGGUGCAUAUUUGUACCACGGGCAUGUGAACAAAAGGAUAUUACAAAAUCUAACAGAACACUUGAGAAAAAUGGAAUAUGGUAUCUAUCUAUGGACCAGUAGCAUACAAAAGAAGAGAAUAAGAGGAUUUUCGGCUGCUGGCGGGGAUUUCCUAGGGUGAAGAGGGGUUACAGCGAAAGAAGGCCUGUCUAGAGGAUAGGACUAGAUCGAGCAAUCCCCAUCAGCAGCCAAAAAAUCCAAGCCGGGAACUUGCACGGAGGGAGCCGUGCCAUCUCCACGCCGCCACCUUGGCAAGCACAAGUCGCAUGCGACUGGUACCCGAUCGAUCAACACCGGAAGAGCGAGCGAGAGCGAGAGCGAGGGAUCCGCGCGCGCAGAUCCUCGCCGCCGGCCACGGACCUGCCGCGCGGGAGCCCGGCUCUGCCUGUGGCCCGUGCCUGUCCGGGGCGGAGGCGCGGAGCACGAGCGCGAGGGAGCAGCAGACGCGCCGUCCCGUCGCGAUCCGGCGCGCGGGCACCACCACACGGUGUCGGUCACCCAUCCGGGCAGGCGGCCGUGCACGGAAAGCAACCGUCCGGUUGCUGUCUCGCUCUCGCCUGACCGCAGCUCCCUACGGGCGGCCCCGGAGCCCGGACGGACGCGGAGCGAGAUCCAACCACAACAGGCCCGUACCAACGUUUUUUUUCCUUGGUGCAAAAUAUAAAGUGGAGCCUAUAUUUAUAAAAUGCAAAUAGUUAAAAUGCACGUAGACUUCCUCAUGUAAUACCAUAAUUAUUCAUACAAAAUGAUUAAAUGACGGAUGAGUUCUUAGCUUCCAUUAAAAAGCAUCAUUGUUCUAGUAUUCUUCGAAACAGGCACAGUAUUACAUUACCUGCACAUUCUCAGCGAAUCACGUGAUCACGCCUUCACGUGGUAGCUUCUGUUGUGAAGAAGUCAGACCUGACGUUAGAGCCCCAGAGGUGGUAGCAGGCUUGAUUGCGGCGGUAGCUUCGCAGAAUCGUAGUUCACGCGCAGCUGGGCGAGACGGCGACUCGGCGAGAUUGCGGCGGCUGGCGGCGCUCACGCGAUCUGGCGAUUAGAUUUAGAAUCCUAAUCGGCAGACGGCAAGCGGCAGCGGCAGGCCAGGCCUGCUAAUCGGUCUAUCAGACGGUUAUGGACUCCUGGUUCGGCAACACGCAAUGAGCCAAUGACGCAACAGAUUCUUCAGGCCAAAAAAUCAAAAAGUUGCAUGCAGACCUGGUCCGCUGGUCGCAUGAGAUGCAAGUAGGAACAGAGUUAUAGAGGUCACCAGGCACCACUUGCCAUGGGUGAUGUACGGGCAUGAACCACAAGCACAGGCGGCAGCAGGGUACGGUCGUAUGGGUACCUUUGCUCGUCUCGUCGAUCGUAAUCAAGGCUUAACGCCCCGCGGCGCGCGGUUGCGUGGUCACCAGGCAAGUUCAGGACGGACCACUCGGCCUCACGGGCUCGGAUGUGGCUAUCGGAGACAGCGGCGGCUGCAGGCAGCUCCGACGUCGGCGACUUGGCAACAGAAAACGACCUGGCUCGCUCGCGCUGCCGGCGCGAGACGAGACUGCCCCGUGCAUGCUGCUUCAAGGAACAAGCGCAAGCACGGGUGGUCCUGUCCGACGCGUUCGUUCGCUUGCUCGUACGCGCAUCUCAGGCAGCAGCAACGCGGGGGUACGAGCCGACUGGUUAACGCGUCGUCGAUCGACAUGUAUGAGCAGGCUAGGCUAACACACCAUGCAUGAGCCGCCAUCGAUUUCACCUGCGUGCGUGGUUUCCGUCCUGCUGCACUUAAAAAGGAAAUCACAUCGUACUCGCUCGUGCGUGUCGUAUAAUCUCGUAACUUUUGCCAUCUCCGAUUAGCCGGGGAGCAGAGACAGACACCAUUCCCGUACCCCUGCAUCCAGUCCGGGUAAUCCACCGCGUCCACGCCUCCUUUCCGUCCCUGAAUCCUGUGACAACCCUCGCGCACGGCACGGACCUCCCGAAAUCGUGUGGCCGCCGCCGCAAGGUCGGUGCCACCGAGAGGGUCCAAACCAGGCCGCGCCGUCCGACCCUGAAAGCGGUGCGGCACCUGGAAUGGUGGCUGAGGGCAAGUAUAUUGGUGUUAUCUUUCGUGUAUUGACACGAUAUCAUGAGAUGACUUAACAAAUAAUUUGUACAAUAUGUUAUUUUUUUUAAGAUGUCUCGUAGUAAUUCUAUUCCCUUAAUUUGUGCAUAGAAAACAAAAGAAAUAUUAUGAGUUGUAUGCAACCACAACUCGUAUAAUGGUAGAGUAGUUGUUUCGUUGUCCUAAAAUCUAGUUUAUAAUACGGUUGUUUCACGAAACAACGAUCUCUUUCUCUCUUAUCACAUUCUCUCCUCCACAACAGAAUAAAAUUUUACGUGAUAUUGAAUGAGGCAGCAUCGCGGGAUUGGGAUUUGCCUGCGAUAUCGCGCCGACGCGAGGUCCGAAGCGGGAGAAAAUAACCGGCCGAUGCGCCGGCGCUUACUUUUCUGAGACGGUGAGCAGGGAGCACGGUCGUUGUUGCCGGCGACAAGGUUAGCUGCCACCGUCCGGGUCUCCUCGCUUCAGCAUCCAGCAAAGUCCGGAGGUUGCUGGCUCCGAAUGGAUGGGGCCAAUCAACACCUGCUGCGCUUGUCAUCGGGGGAUCACAACGGGGCACCCUGGCUGGAUUGCUGGUGCAUCAAGACGCAAGGGGAGGGCCAGUGCAUCAGGGCAAAAUCAGCUAAUUUGGAUCGCUCGAGUGGCCAAGGUCGACAUGUAAAAACUUUUCACACGGCUUCACCGGCAGGAACAAGGCUUUUUUUAAAUUUAUCUAGGAAAUCCAACUGUUUAGAAUUAUAACUCCCUCAUAGUUGACGGUUUACUUUAAGUGUUUAUCUGAUCAUUAUUUGUUUUUUUUGCAACUUCUAUGAAUUGCACAUCAAAACAUGCAAAAGAACGAGAUGAAGCCAAACAAAAUUAAAGAAAAAGAAAAGUAAAAGAAAAAAGAGGAGAGUGAUACACGUACGGCGGCUAAUACCAGUUGCUAGAAAUUCAGCUCGAGUCAUUUGAUAAUAAUUUCUUCAAAGAAGUUUCUUUUUCUUUUUUGCAAUUUGUAAAGGACAACGAAACUUCCUUUUAAGCUGGUACCGUAGCUGUUUUGGCAAUUGUUAUGGUUUUAGUAACCAUUUCUAGAGUCAUAGAUGAUGACUUUUACUUGCUAACUUCUAGAAAUACAGUGUUCAAAUUUGGGGAACAGUUGGAGGACAAGGAAUACGGAACACCUCCUACACGCGUCUUUUCACAAACCCUUUACAGUUGCACCGUUAUACGCGUAGACGUGGCAAAAAAGCGAGGAACGGAUAAGCAAGCGUGAGAGAAACGAAACCUCAAAACUGGUCAAACCAGUGGGUCUUCCCGUAAUACCGCGUCCCGCCGAGGACCCAUUCGCAAAACCCGCCGCGUCCCCACCCACCCCGAGAAUUCGAUUUCUUCUCCCCUUUUCCUUUCCACGCGCACCACCAUUGCCAAGCUCCCCUUUUCCCCCUCCCCCUCCUCCUCCUCCUCCCGCUCCCUCCGUCCCCCACCACCCCAGGCGAGCUCCUCCACCGGCGGCAGCGGAAGAGCGGCGGGGGGGACCGAGUCUAGUAGGUGAGGGAAAGGGCGAGCUGAGCCAGUGCGAUGGGGCAGCAGCAGCUGAUCUACGCGUUCGUGGCGCGGGGCACGGUGGUGCUGGCCGAGUACACCGAGUUCACCGGCAACUUCACCACCAUCGCGGCGCAGUGCCUGCAGAAGCUCCCCGCCAGCAACAACAAGUUCACCUACAACUGCGACGGCCACACCUUCAACUACCUCGUCGAGGACGGAUUCAGUGAGUACCUCCCGCUUCCCGUCCCCCGUCGCUCCGAUCUGCUCGGUUCCGCCUGGAUCUGCGCCGCCGCGGGCUCGAUUCGGGGUUUUCCGCGCGUAGAUCUCGAGGAGCUCGCUCGAUCCGCUUGGUGGGGUCAGGGUUAGGUCGUCUCGAGUAGUUAGGUGGGUUGGAUUUGACGGUUGCUUAGAGGCUAAUAUGAGUCAAGCGGGUUUGUUGCUACGCUUAGCAAGCGGAGGAGCUGUUUGGACUCCGCCGCAACUCCAGCUUGUGUUGAGAUGUGCUUUCGGGAGGGUCGGGAGUUGUUGUAAAUGUCUAUUUUUAGGCCCCGGAUAUUAUGUAUGAUUGCAUGGUAUUUGGCAGCAGAGAAUAUAGGCCCGUUGCGUGAUGUGUGUUUUGGUUCCAUAUCGUUAAGGCUGAAUCAUCCUUGAUUGUGGCAAACGUAUCACAGAUUCGGGGCUUUUCUGGGGUAUGGACAAUACUGCGAUUGCAGCCGGAUGUGUUUUGUCAUGCCUUCCGCGGGGAAUAAAGGCACCGGCAUAUGUAUCUGAUGACGGAAUGAUACGUGCUAUAUUGCUUUUGUUUGUGGUCAUCGGAAGAGGCUUUCACUUUGUCGUUUCUUUUGUUGUUUGUUGAUGUUAUGGUCUUUUUAGGUAAACUGUAUCUUCAUUUGGUUCUUUGUUUAAUAUAAGAUGUUGCAGCUUGUUAUGUGAUAAAUGCUGUAGUAGCAAGCUCGUAGUGCCUGAUAUGACUUAGGUGCCCCAUCCCCAUUUCAAUAUGUCGCAGGUUGUUCUACAACAAAUAUACCAUGUUAUUAUGCAAGAGAAGUUUGCUGCAAUACAUAGUACAUACUAAAGGCUCUGUAUUAUUAGUUGUCUUUGUGGCCUGCGUGUUAAUUGUUACUUUUCAUAAUGGCUGACCAAAUUGAAAACUUGGCAAUAUGUUUCUGCGUAUUAACAGCUUAUAGUUGGCUAUGCAAAUAUGGAAGUUCUAUUACUUCCAUUUUUCUCAAAGUCCUUUGGUUAACCUGAAACAAAUAUCACUGCAUUUAAAUUUUGUUAUCCAUCCAUUGUGAAGGUUCGUCAUAGGUUAACAACUUAACAUGAAGCAUUGAUCAAUGUAUUUGUGUUUUGGUGCUUGUUUAUCUCUAUCUGCCAAUGGUCCAAUACUUGUACAAUACGUUGAUGAUAAAUAUUGUUCGCUUUUCUACAGCGUACUGUGUAGUUGCUGUUGAGUCAGUCGGGCGACAAGUUCCCAUUGCUUUCCUGGACAGAGUUAAGGAAGAUUUCACCAAAAAAUAUGGUGGUGGGAAAGCAGCUACUGCAGCAGCAAACAGCUUGAACAGGGAGUUUGGGUAUGUUCCUUUGUCUUUUAUAUGAUAUUUGAUCAAUCACAUGUACCAUUUUGACUCCCUUUAAGGCUUUAACUAACCUAUUUGUCUUCUGUACCAUUUAAAGAUCAAAACUUAAAGAGCACAUGCAGUACUGUGUGGACCACCCUGAGGAGGUCAGCAAGCUUGCCAAGGUGAAGGCCCAAGUCUCAGAAGUUAAAGGAGUUAUGAUGGAGAACAUUGAGAAGGUACUAUAUUAACUCAUCCAAAAAGAUACACAUUUCUGAUUAUACUGGAAAAAGAUGGUACAUCUCAAAUGUUGUCCUUAUUCCGUAUUACAAUUCUGAUAUUCAGGUUCUGGACCGUGGUGAGAAGAUUGAGCUGCUUGUUGACAAGACUGAAAAUCUGCGUUCUCAGGUAAUGGAUUUUCUUUAUGAUGUCACCAUUAGUGCAUUUAAUUUUGCGUAUAACUCUUGCAUAUACUGAAGACAGUAAUCAUCCAAUCUUUUUUAUGUACAGAGCUUAUAAACUUUAUUAUAAUGUCAAGGAAAAAAUUCAUAUAGAAGUUUUCGUAGGUCUUUCCCAUUACAAUGAGGCAAGCCUGGAUAUAGCUUACUCUUAAUGUUAGUGCAUAAUGAAUUCAAUGCGUUACAUAGAAGUCUUAGGAUCUGUGCUACUCAAUCUAUCUAAAGCUGUAAAGCACCAAAGGCGUUGUUGGUGAAGUGUCAUUAUUGCUGCGAUAUGGAUGGCUAAUAUUAUUGCUAGAAUAGGUGUUUCUUUGUUAGUCGAAAAAAAUCAUGAUUGCUGUAAUAGAGUUAAAUUAAAUGGUUGAAACAUCAUGUUGUGAAAAUGCUGCCUUAAAGAUCAGCAGAUCCUCCAGCUGCAAUUUUCUGUCAGAUGACUCAGCUCUGCUACUCUUAAGGUGAAGCGUUCAUAUCAUAUCGUGGCACAUGGUUGUCUAAAAGACCAUGAAUUCCUGUAGUUUAGCCAUGCUACAAUCUUCUGCAAGAUGACUAGCAUUUGUGCAUGUAGAAACACCAUGUUACUUCCUAGGUUGAUGUCUGGUUGAAUUAUGUAAUGUGGGAUUGUGGACCUAACUGUACCUAUACAAUGAUUCUCACUGAUUUGAUUAGGUCGCUGUUAUGUUACUCCCUAAUUCCUAUGUUGCCUAAUUUACUGGCAUUAGUUGCACUGACUGCUUGGUUGAAGAUAUGUGUUGUUCCUAUUACACUGGUGAAGCAUGCAGCAUAACUUGUUAAUUUUUUAAUUAACUAUGUUAAUUUCUGAAGUUGUAUAUUUCUACGCUGCAUCUUUAAUGUGAGUUGUCCAACUUACGCAUAAUAAUUCGAGAUCUAAUUUGAGAUCUCAAUGUGAUCUUCGAUGCUGACACUUGUGUGGCUUUACCUAUUUAUGUCCUGUGAUGAGCAUAGCAAAUGUUGAGAAAUGCGGAAAUAAUUAGCAAUAGUAAAGAUGCUCAACACUGGAACAAUACCUGAAAGCUUCCUUAACUGCGAUUAAUUUUUCUACUGCGUAUUCUUAUAUGACAGUUCAAUGCAUGCCUGUACCUGUUUCUUAUGAGAAUCUGUACAUGCUAUCUGCAGGCACAAGAUUUCAGGCAGCAGGGCACUAAGGUGCGGCGAAAGAUGUGGCUGCAGAACAUGAAGAUCAAGCUGAUCGUGCUGGGCAUCAUCAUCGCGCUCAUCCUCAUCAUCAUCCUGUCGGUGUGCCACGGCUUCAAUUGCGGCAAGAAGUGAGGAGAUGGCGAGAACGAUUGGUAUGGAGAGUUUUGCUCUGUUAGUGGCGCUGAUUAUUCUUGGUGAUCACAGAGAGUGUGCGUUCCUGAUGUCUGUGUCCGUGGUUGGUGGUUGAUUGCUGUUGGGUUGGUUGGUUGGGGGAAGUGACUGGGUGAGAAGUGGGGGUUUAGUGUCGUGUAAUUUUGGAUGCUACUAUUGUGCAUUGUAUAGCUUGUAUGCUACCCUGGUCCGUUCCGCUAUAUCAGUAGAGGUUAUUACGUUUGCUCUCCAGAUCGCCCCAGUUGUUCAACUAGAGUUGCUCUCCACGACUCUUGUGCUGAUGUUUUUGUUUUGCGCUGAGAAUCAAGUUCAGUAGGGACAUCAAACAAGUGAAGAGGACGGGUGACCUCAGUGGCUCGCCAUUGAAAUUGUUUCGUUGGGCUGGACGGGUGGCCCUUGGCUAUAUAUGGCUCGAACAGCCAGAUAAAGUGGCUCAACUUGAUAUCAGGUGCUAAACUCACCCUCAAAUGGAGGGUUUGAUAUCAGGUGCUAAACUCACCCUUAAAUGGAGGGAUGGAGGGUUUGAUAUCAGGUGCUAAACUCACCCUUAAAUGGAGGGUUAAAAUUUAGUACCUUGAGGUGUUUUUGGAUAUAGUGCUAAAUUUUAGUAUCUUUGGUGGCAAAUGACAACAGUAUCCCUCCUUUCCCUCUUCACUGGCUGGCGCGCUGCCUCCUCCUCCCGCCUCCCGCGCUAUUCCCUCUCCCAUCGCUUCUUUUUUUUUUGCACUAUUCCCUCUCCCAUCGUUUCUUUUUUUUUUGCCAACUUUCUGGCCGGUUGUAGCGCUGUCCCUCUAUCUUGUCUCUUUUUCUCUCAUUUGGCCAACAUCAUUUCCAAAUAGUGAAGGAGAAAUACAUUUAAAUAACACAACCAUACACACUCAACUAUUUCCAUUGUCCAAUAAACAUGAAAUAACACAACCAUACACACUCAACUAUUUCCAUUGUCCAAUAAACAUGAAAUAACACAAAGAAUACAAUGCAUUGGCAAUGUCCUUACAACACAACCAUACACAUUAGCUACGAUCUAUUAUACAAACCACUAGCUAUUUCAUCACGGAAUUCAUUCAUGUUACGGUCUUCGUCCCUUGCUUAGGUAUUCGUCGCAUGUCCUUGAGAGUUUGAUAAUUCGGCUAUAGGAAUAGAAUUUUCAUCAUGAUCGCACAUAUCAAAGGCUCUAUUGGCAAUAGCAUUCUCUUGAAUGAAAUUGUGAAUUGCCAUGCAUAAUACUAUUAUUUUGCUUUGCUUGUGCAUUGGAAAACUUGGUAUACCUAACAAAAUCCUCCACUUCAUCUUCAAAACUUCAAAGGACCUUUCGAUAAUAUUUCUAAGGGACGAAUGUGCAUAAUUAAAGGUCUCUUUCAUACCUUUUGGUAUUAGGCCACUUCGAAACUUCCGGAGAUGGUACUUCCUACCCUUGUAUGGUGCAAGGUAACCGGGACGGUUAGGAUAUCUUGAAUCAACUAGGUAAAACUUGCCUACAAAUGAAGUCAAUUUUGUGAGGUAAAUGAAGUUGACACCAUAUUUGUACAAAUGAAGAGAAUAUCAUAUAGAAAGUAGUAUACCUGGAGGAGGAUGUGGAAACUUGUCACCAUAUUUGGUUAUGGUAUCAUUGAACACUCUCAUAUCAUGUACCGAUCCAGGCCAUCCACUAACAACAAAUGUAAACCUCAUGUAGAAGUCACAAAUAGCCAGCACAUUCUGUGUGGUAUAUCCAUGUCUCCCCGUAUGCUGAACCACCUUAUCACUUGGCACCAUAAGUGGUACAUGUAUCCCAUCUAUAGCUCCUAUACAAUUGUUGAAGUAUGGAGCAAACCGAGGGUUUUGCAAUCUUUGGUGCGGGUCUUAAAUUAAUGGUCCUUUGGCCUAAUAAUAUGUAUUUCUUUCCAAGACUAGUAGCAGUGGACCUGGUGCUUGUACUUGAUCUCUUCCUGGUGUUACUGCUCAUUGGGCUAUGAUCAAGGUCAUAAAAAGAACCAUCGUGAUCAGCAUCUUCUUCCUCUCCAUCCUCAGCAUCUUUUUCCUCUUCCUCUGCAGCUACAGGCAUGAAUGAGGUGGACCCAUCCACAAUAAUAUCAUGGAACAUUUCCUCAAGCUGGUCAAGGUACUCUGGAAUAUUCUAAUUUUCCCUGCAAAUGAAUUGCAUGUUCAUAUUAGACAGGUCAACAAUGCAAAUAAAGUGAAUGUUUCUCACCUUUGUGUUUUGUUCCCACCACCAUUUUGAGGCAGAAACAGUACCAUCAACAUUCCUGCCCAGGCCACUCUGCUUUUGUAGUUCUUUUAGAAGGCAUAUAGUGUUUUCAGUUGAUGAAUCCUGUUCCUCAACUGCGUCUUGUCAUGCUUCAAACCAGUAAUCAUGUAAUAUUUUUCUGCAAUUGUCUUCUAACCUCUUGCAGAUAUGGUACCUUUGUGACAAUUUCCUGCUCUAAUUUGCUCAACGCACAAAUCACAGAACAAAUUUGUAUUUCGUUCUGACCAUUUUGCCUUGUCACUUUUUAUCUAGUGCAUAACACAAAAAUAGGAAACAAAUUACUGGUACAAUGAAAGAAACUACCAGCCACACAUUAGCAAACAGAUGCUACUCCUACACAAAUUUGUAAACUAGGCAUAAACAUUGCAUAAACCACCAGCCACACAUUGCACAUAUAUGAAUGAAACCACCAACCACACAUUGCACAUAUAUGAAUAAAAUCACCAGCCACACAUUGCACACACAUAUAUAUCACAUCAACACUGCAUAAACAUGAAGAAGAUGAUGGCUGCAACAAAUUACCUUGGAGUUGGGGAAAAUAACUUCCACAGCUUCAGCACCAUCGUCGCUAUUUUCUUCAUCAACAUCAAACAUAUUAUCUCCCCCAAGCCUACUGCAUCACCAGCACGGUUGUUCCUCAACGACCUCCGCGCCCACCAGCACGUCCUUCGCCACGUCUUCCACCGCCUGUACCACCCUCGGGCAAGGAACCAUCGAACAAAGACCUUGUUGCAUGCCCUCCACCACCUCUGCUGCCACUGCCGCUUCAUCCUCCAUUGCGAGGCACACGUAAGCCGAGGGUACGGCUGCCGCAACCUUGGGGUACUUCGUCUCCCCGAAGGAUUUCCGAGUAGGAGUUGAUGUCGGGGAAAUCCUCCGCCUGAGAGUUGAGGUCCAGGGCUUGCAUGCCCUCUCGGGGAGCUCAGGAAGAUUCUGCCUGCGAGAAGAAAUCGAAGCCGCCGGCGGGAAAGGUGGAUCCGGUUGGGAUAAGAGGUCAUUCAACCUGUCGUCGUCGUGGCCGUCCAUGAGCACUGGGCGAAGGUUGGGGGCAUGGUGGUGCAUUCCUGGCGGCGAAGGAGGCCGUGGAUCUGGGGCGGCGUGGGAAGGAGACAAAGGUGCGGUUGGAGGGGAGGACUGGCGGGAGGGGAUGGCGCCGGGAGGGGAGGACUGAUGGGAGGGGUUGUCGGCGGGACGGGGAGGAUCGGCGGGAGGGGAAGACCGGAGGGGAUGGCAUGCAUCGGCUUGAGGGGACAACUGGGGGACAUGCCGGCGGGAGGGGAUGACCGGCGGGAGGAGAUGGCGGCGGGAGGGGCGGCUGCGGGAGGGAAGUUGCGUGAGGGAUGGCUGCAGGAGAAACAUGCGCUGCGGGAGGGGGAAGAGGGCAAAGGGGGAAAUUUUGGACAGGGGACCACUUUUAGCAAGUUUAGCACCUUUUAGCACCCCUUUGAGGUGCUAAAGGAAAUUUUGGGGGGGGAGGGUAAACUUUAACACCCUCCCUUUAGCACCUCUGUUUGGUAACCUAUGUGCUAAAAUGGGGCUAAAAGUAGGACGCUAAAGUUUAACACCCCUCUCCAAACAGCCCUAAAACAGCCAAAUAACUUGCUGCUACUCGUAAUGUUGAGAUCGAGAUCGAGCAACUAGGCACUGGGACUGUUUGGAUACUAGGUGUUAAACUUUAGCAGUGUCACAUCGGAUGUUCGGAUGCUAAUUAGAAGGACUAAACAUGAGCUAAUUAUAAAACUAAUUGCAGAACCCCUAUGCUAAUUCAUGAGACGAAUCUAUUAAGGGGGUGUUUGGAUACCAGGUGCUAAACUUUAGCAGUGUCACAUCGGAUGUUCAGAUGCUAAUUAGGAGGACUAAACAUGAGCUAAUUAUAAAACUAAUUAUAGAACCCUGUGCUAAUUCGCGAGAUGAAUCUAUUAAGUCUAAUUAAUCCAUCAUAGCAAAUGGUUACUGUAGCACCACAUUGUCAAAUCAUGGACUAAUUAGGCUUAAUAGAUUCGUCUCGCGAAUUAGACUCCAUCUGUGCAAUUAGUUUUGUAAUUAGCCUAUAUUUAAUACUCCUAAUUAGCAUCCAAACAUCCGAUGUGACAGGUGCUAAACUUUAGCGGGGUGCAUCCAAACACCUGCUAAGUCUAAUUAAUCCAUCAUUAGCAAACAGUUAUUGUAGCACCACAUUAUCAAAUCAUGAAUUAAUUUAGGUUUAAUAGAUUUAUCUCGCGAAUUAGACUCCAUCUAUACAAUUAGUUUUGCAAUUAAUCUAUAUUUAAUACUUAUAAUUAACAUCCAAAUCUAUUGUGACAUGUGCUAAAUUUUAGUGGGGGUGUAUCAAACACCCCUGCCAGCAGUUGCAAGCAAAUCUGAGACCUGGACGAGUGACAGUGAGCUGCGUCCGUGGCCGCACACCAGCCCGGCAGCCCCAGCCCCCAGGCUGAAGUGCCACGCUGUGAUUGACAGGUAGAGCUACUAGCCUACUGUUACUCACUGUUCACGCAGCGCACAUGAGGCAGCAGCCUUUGACCAAAGGCGUGGGUAGCGGCAGUGCGGCACCCACACGCCAGCCUCAGCCUGUCUGCCUGUGCUGCUGUGCAAGCCAAGCGUGCGCGCGACGCGAGAUGAGAGGGGCCGAGGGGGUUGAUCUUUUCUUCCCUGUGAAGUGAGAUCACGCGCGGCGCGUGAGCUCCGCUGCAAAAGCGCCGAGGGAGCGGUGUGUGCCGGUAGCCCGGUGCACGUCAGACGUCACGAGCACGGCUGCCUUUUUUUCAGGUUCAGGGGGGGGUCCUUUCAGGUGGUAGUAGACUAGCAGUAAUACCGCAGCAACGCCGCAAUGCUGAAGAUGCAGGCAUGGAUGAAUAAAAUGUCCUGGUGCCUUGCUUAGAUCGGCCGGCGUAAGCGCACUGUUUACCUGCUCUGGAGAUGGGCUUAGCCAAGAGAUGGUCAUUGCGACUUGCAUCGAUCACUCGGUUAUCGAAGUAAGGUAGGCUAACGAAGUAACGAGAGUCUAGGAUUUAGAGAAUAUGAUCUUGCAAAUGUUAAAUAGCCUCUUCGUUUCGAUAACCGAGCUAAGCUCGGUUUGAAACAUUAAUCUUUUUUUUUAUGGUUUGGAUUUUGAUAUUUGAAAAUUGCAGAUGCAGUUUCGUAAAAAAAAUGGUAUUAUAACACUUUGCUUUUGCUACAAAUUUAUUUAAUUUAUAGUAAGAAAUCAGCAGAUAUCUCCGAGCUGGUCCACUCGUAAAACAUGGCGCCACUAAACAAGAUGACGGUGAUCGAUGGCAUUAGCUCGAUGCUGAUCAAAACGGAGGGUACAGAGGUACAAGCCCAACACACACAUCAGGGCACGACAACACCACGUGCACUCUACACAGAGACACACACUCUAGAUCUCAAGACAUGUACGCUGCGACCCUGCGGCAUCUGCAUAUCGCACGCGCGUCCCCCCCCCCCCCCCCCCCCCCCCCCCCCCCCCCCCGGCUCACAAGCACACGUACGUGCACAUUAUUACAAGCACACACGCAUCCAUCCAUGCAAAUAUGCAGAGAUCGAUGCUGACACGCCGCGCGCUCUAGCCAUGCAGCACGCACACGACUCACGGGACGCCGCCGGCACCGCCACCGCCGCCUCCAC
rnacentral:lncRNA from 1 species